rnacentral:lncRNA from 1 species
UGCUUUCUCUUCUAAACACUUCAUCAACUCAUCACUUCCUUCCAUGGAAUUGGCGUCUUCAUCAUCAAAACUGCAAGAAUGUACGAUGUGCUCAUAAACUUUAAUGGAGAAGACAUCCAAAGGAAAUUUGUUUCUCAUCUCGAUUCUGCCCUCUCUGCUGUUGGCUUCACCACUUUCCUUCACCACCCCAAUGCAGACAACCCAAUCCACAUCCAACAACCUAUUCUCAAUCUCUCUCGUGUAGCAAUUGUUGUUUUCACCAAAUCCUAUUCUCAAUCUGCUUGGUAUCUUAAUCAGCUUCAACAAAUCAUCAAAUGGCACCAAACUUAUUGCCGACAUGUUCUGCCCGUAUAUUACGAAAUUCAGCCAUCUGAAGUACGUUUUCAGGAGGGUGAUUUUGGAAAGGCCUUCAAAACAACUGCACACCAAACAUUCUCAGGACAACAACUGGAGCAUGGCAUGUCUAGGUGGAGCCACGCACUCACCAAAGCUGCAAAUUUAUUUGGAUGGGAUGAGAGCAAUUACAGGUAAAUCACUCACUCAAUCACCAUAUUUUAAGCUUCUCAUUUCAUUUUGGUAAUGCAUGAAAUGACUUCUUCCAUAAUUGCUAUUGAACUUGAUGGAGUGAUGCUGAACUAGUGGACACAAUUGUUAAGACCGUUCUUAAUUUACCAGUCGUGUCUGCUACUAAGUUUCCAGUCGGAUUACAAUCCAACGUGGAAGAUAUGAUUCGAACUAUCAAAAAUAAAUCCACGGAAGUUUGUAGGAUAAUGAUAUGCGGAGAGGGAGGAUCUGGUAAAACCACCAUUGCCAAAGCCAUCUACCAUCAAAUUCAUGGUACAUUCACGGAGAGAAGUUUCAUUGAAGAUAUUGAAGAAGUUAGCGGAAUAAGAGGGGAUCUUCAUUUACAAGAACAACUUCUUUCAGAUGUCCUAAAAAGAAAGGUGCAGAUAGAUAGCGUUGAGAUGGGAAGAAGUAUGAUUCGGGAAAGACUUUCUGGGAAAAGGGUGCUCAUUGUACUUGACGAUGCGACUGAGUUUUUUGCAUUAUUCGACCUACGGGAAUGCCAUCAUUGGUUCAGUGUAGGAAGUGUAAUAAUCAUUACAACGAAAGAUAAAAACCUACGGAGUAUGCAUGAUGUUGAUUCUGUUUUUCGCAUAGAUCCAAUGAAGGCAAAGGAGUCCCUUGAGCUUCUUAGUUGGCACGCAUUUAGAGAAGCAAAACCAAAAGAAGAAUAUCAUUUCCUUGCAGAAAGAGUAGUUGCUUAUUGUGGAGGACUACCUCUUGCUCUUGAAGUCAUUGGAAGUAGUUUAUUUGAAAAGACUAGAGAAGAAUGGAAUAGUGUGUUUAUUAAAUUAAUGACAACUUCCAUGCAUGGUAUUCUACAUCAAUUGAAAAUAGGCUUUGACUCUUUACGCAAUGAAAGGGAAAAAAAUGUAUUCCUUGAUGUAUGUUGUUUCUUUGUUGGUAAAGACAGAGCUUAUGUUACGAAUAUACUAAGUGGGUGUGGAGUACACGCUGAGAGUGCAAUAAGAGUUCUGAUAGAGCGUAGCCUCAUACAAGUUAAAAAGAACAACAAAUUGGGAAUACAUCCUUUGCUACGAGAAAUGGGAAGAAAAAUUAUUAGUGAAAUUUCAAGAAAGGAAUCUGUGAAGAGCAGUCGAUGGUUCAUUGAUAAGGAUGCGGAAUAUGUAUUGACAGAUAAUAUAGUAAGAAAUUCUCUAUAUAUGGUUUUGAAAGUUCUUUUGGAAGUGUUUGCUUCCUCAUGUGCAAAACAUUCAUUUGGUUUACUUUGCUUCUUUCAUCACAGGGGACAGAAGCCAUUGAGGGAUUCAUUGUGAAACUGCGUUCCGCCAGAAGAGAUUGGAUCGAAGCAUAUCCUUUAGAGAUAAGAGACAUAUCAAAACUGUUGCAACUCGUUGGGUAUCGUUGUAAGCUCAAAAUACAUUGGAUAUAUAUACCUACGUGGAUUUGAGGGAUCGUCACAUAAUCUUUUUCCUACUAUCAUUCGGUCUUGGAUGACACCAACAAUGAAUAUAAUUGUUGGGUUUUUAGAAUAUUUCAGAGGAAGAUAUUUUAUUAUCUUUGCUAACAAUUACAUUUAUAGUAACUGCAGUAACAAACUCUUAACUAAUUUUAUGAGCAGUUACCUAGAAAUAUUAAAUCAACAAUUAAAACAGAAUAACAAACCGUUAAAAAAUCAUAAUUUCCAACACUCCUCCUUGAUUUUUUGAACUGCAACUUCCAAUCUUCUGUCUUGAGAACUCAAACUUGUUGGUUGGAAGUGGCUUGGUAAACAAAUCUGCAAUUUUUAUUUUUUUCAUCCUCGCUUUGCUUAAUCUCCAUUCAACACCUUUUGAUUUGACAUAAGGUGCAGAUUCUAAAAGACUUUUGUCAAAGCCUAAGCUGAUAAGAUAACAUUUGUCUUCUUUUCCUUCCACAAUGAGACCUUUAGGUUGCUCAACAGAAAUUUUCUCUUCAAGAAAUCCAUUUAGGAAUGUUGACUUGACAUCCAUUUGAUGCACCUUUCUAUCUCGAAGUAUGUUAACAAGUUCCCGAGUUUUGUUCUUCUCACUCAUAUAUACCUCUUCCUCCAUUGCCUUUGGGCCGUUGAUAACUUUUUUGUGAUCAACAGGUUCUUUGUGAUCCGCAGCUUCUUUGUGAUCCACAGGUUCACAUAUUGCAACGUUAUAUCUAUGAUAUAUGUCAGAGAGUAAUCGAUUGCCUUUAAUUGGUGGAUCGUCUUCUAUUUCAGAUUUUUGCAUCUUGAGAAGUCCUUGAUUAGACGGCUCCUCCUGAAAUAGAUCUAAUGAGAAAUUUUUGCCUUUCAUUUGUACCUUGAACAAAUCUUGUCCUGUAGCAUCCUUGAUCGAACAGUGGUUAUCUUCAAAAAACACCUUGAAGCCUUUUUGCAGCAACUGACCAACACUCAAUAAAUUUUGGUCUAUGUUAGGUACAUAUAACACAUCAGUAAUAGUUUUAGUACCUGAAUGUGUUGUUACAACAAUGGUUCCUAUUCCUUUUACUGAAAUGUGACCCCCAUGGCCUAUCUUGACCUUUGAAAUUUUUGAAGGCUUCAACUCCUUGAAAUUUUUUUUGUCAUAAGUCAUGUGAUUUGUGCUUCCACUAUCAAUUAACCACGAUGCACUUGAAAUAUUGUUGGAGAAUCCCCCUCCACAUUUGCAAAUUGAGCAUCUACGUCUUUUUGCUCACUUUGGUUUACAUCUUGUUGCUCACUUUGGUUUCUACAAAUGACUGCUUCAUGCCCAAGUUGAUUGCACUUGUUGCACUUCGCAUCAGGUCUUCUCCAACACUUAAACGGUGGAUGACCUAACUUGUUGCAAUGCUUACAAGGAGGGUAAUUUCUCCUUUUGUUGUUAUUGUGUGCAACAACUUCUCCAUUUUCUUGCUGGUUCUGCUUGAUCUGACUACCUUUGUUUCUCCAACCACCUUUAUGGUUGGCUGUUAAGGCUCCUUCUAUUGCUCCAUCUUGUCUCAUAGCUCUUCUUUGUUCUUGUGCUUGUAAAGCAUUUCAUAGCUCUGCAAGAGAAAUCUUUGAUAGGUCCUUUGUGUUCUCUAUGGUUGUUAUGGUGGCUUCAAACCUCUCUGGAAUCGUUACAAGCAGUUUUUCCACAAUUCUUCAAUCUUUUAAGACAGAUCCAAGCAAUCUCACUUUGUUGGCAAUGCUUAGAAGUCAGUCAAAAUACUCUUUUACGGUUUCUGACUCCUCCAUUCUCUGCAGUUCAAACUCCCUGAUUAGAUUCAGCACUUGCAUUCCACAAAUCCUCUCAUCACCUUCAUAUUCGGCCUUGAGGUAAUCCCAGAUUUCUUUUGCUGACUUCAAUGACAUUAUCCUUGUGAAUACCAUAGGAGAUACAACUGCAAAUAGACAUGUUUUUGCCUUUGUACUUUUCAUCUUUUGUUCCUUCUGUGAUUUCAUUUGUGCCACAGUAGGGUUUUCUGGAAGAGACUGAAUUUCCUCUUCUGCAGCUUCCCAUAAAUCCAAUGCUUCUAGGUAGGUCUCCAUACGAACAACCCACAUUUGAUAAUUGUCUCCAUUAAAGACAGGUGGUGCCAUUGCUGAAAAAUUGAAACCUCCUUCCAUUGAUGCAAUCUACUAACCUCACUGAUCCCUCAAGAAGAUAACUCUGAUACCAAUUGUAGGUUUUUGAGAAUAAUUCAGAGGAAGAUAUUUUAUUAUCUUUGUGAACAAUUACAUUUAUAGUAACUGCAGUAACAAACUCUUAACUAAUUUUAUGAGCAGUUACCUAGAAAUAUUAAAUCAACAAUUAAAACAGAAUAACAAACAGUUAAAAAAACAGAUUUUUCAACAGAAUCCCCCAUCUUAUUUUCAUUCGUUUUGCACGGAUAUGGAGGAUAAUAAUUGGGAUUAUAUUGCGCCAUUGCUUAGCACGCUUGCAAAUCUUUGAAGUGUUUUGGUGCAAUGUAACUCUGAGUUUCAACUAUCUAACCUCUACAAAAACUUGUGAAAUUUCGCCCUAAUAUCUGAAAUUUUAUUCUGGGUUCAUAUUGCGCUGAAAAAAUUCACACAACUACUUUCAUAUGUUGUUUGCACCCAGGUAAGGAGGCACGUCCAUAAACAAAUCACAAAAAGAAGAUACGGGGGAGAAAAGCCAGGACGUUUUGUUUUCCGAAAACCAGUUUUGUUCACUCUCGGUCUGGGACUUAGUACGCCUUAUUCCUUAGGUAUUUUGUUUUGAAAUUUUUACCAGAUGUUCGUCACUGUAUCUACUGAGUUUUGGCUGAGAUUUGAGCCCCAGUUUCGUUUCACGAGACUGUCAAUAAAUUAUUUUUGAUCACUGCCAUGGCUAAGAGGAUGGUUCGGUUGUGUGUGAAACUGUUUGAUUUUUUCACGGGUGAAUACUCAUCCGUUUGACCUGGAAUUUGUUGCAUUUUGUCCCAAAUUCAGUGGAGAUUCUUACGUGAAGUUUCAGAAAAAACUAAUUCCGAGAAUUUUUCAGAAAUUUCGUGCAAACCAAGGCUAUCCUCUACCAAAACCUGUGAAAUUUCGCCCAAGUAUUUGAAAUUUUAUUGUGGGUCCGUAUUGCGCUGAAAAAAUUCACACAAGUACUUUCAAAUGUUGUUUGCACCCAGGCAAGGAGGCACAUCCAUAAAGAAUUCACAAAAGGAAUAUACGGGGGAGAAAAGCAAGGACGUUUUGUUUUAGGAAAACCAGUUUUGUUCACUCUCGGUUUAGGACUUACUACGCCUUAUUUUUUGAGUAUUUUGGUCUGAAAUUUUUACCAGACGUUCAUCACUGUGUCUACAGAGUUUUGGCUGAGAUUUGAGCGCCAGAUUCGUUCCACGAGACUAUCAAUAAACUUUUUAUUCAUCAGUGCCAGAGCUGAGAGGAAGGUUCGUGUGUGUGUGAAACUGUUUGAUUUUUUUCGUGGGUGAAUACUUAUCCGUGUGACCUGAAAUUUGUCGCAUUUUGUCCCAAAUUCAUCGGAGAUUCUUACGUGGAAUUUGAGGAGAAAACUAUUUCAAGACAAUUUUUCAGAAAUUUCGUGCAAACCAAGGUUAUGCUCUACCAAAACUUGUGAAAUUUUGCCCAAGUAUCUGAAAUUUUAUGGUGGGUCCGUAUUGCGCUGAAAAAAUUCACACAAGUAAUUUCAAAUGUUGUUUGCACCCAGGCAAGGAGGCACGUCCAUAAAGAAUUCACAAAAGGAAUAUAUGGGGGAGAAAAGCAAGGCCGUUUUGUUUUCGGAAAACCAGUUUUGUUCACUCUCGGUUUGGGACUUACUACGCCUUAUUCCUUGAGUAUUUUGGUUUGAAAUUUUUACCAGACGUUCGUCACUGUGUCUACUGAGUUUUGGCUGAGAUUUGAGCCCCAGAUUCGUCCCACGAGACUAUCAAUAAACUUUUUAUUCAUCAGUGCCAGAGCUGAGAGGAAGGUUCCUUUGUGUCUGAAACUGUUUGAUUUUUUUCGUUGGUGAAUACUCAUCCGUUUGACCUAGAAUUUGUUGCAUUUGAUCCCAAAUUCAGUGGAGAUUCUUACAUGAAAUUUCAGAAAAAACUAUUUUCGGAGAAUUUUUCAUAAAUUUUGUGUAAACCAAUGUUAUACUCUACCAAAACUUGUGAAAUUUCUUCCUAGUAUCUGAAAUUUUAUUCUGGGUCCGUACUGCGCUGAAAAAAUUCACACAAGUACUUUCAAAUGUUGUUUGCACCCAGGCAAGGAGGCACGUCCAUAAAGAAAUCACAAAAAGAAUAUACGGGGGAGAAAAGCUAGGAUGUUUUUGUUUUCGGAAAAUCAAUUUUGUUCACUCUCGGCCUGGGACUUACUACGCCUUACUCCUUGGGAAUUUUGGUCUGAAAUUUUUACUAGACGUUCUUCACUGUGUCUACUGAAUUUUGGCUGAGAUUUGAGCCCCAGAUUCGUCCCACGAGACUAUCAAUAAAUUUUUUAUUCAUCAGUGUCAGAGCCUAGAGGAAGUUUCGUGUGUGUGUGAAACUGUUUGAUUUUUAUCGUGGGUGAAUAAUCAUCCGUGUGACCUUAAAUUUGUCGCAUUUUGUCCCAAAUGCAUCGGAGAUUCUUACGUGGAAUUUCAGGAAAAAACUAUUUCGAGAGAAUUUUUCAGAAAUUUUGUGCAAACCAAGGCUAUCCUCUACCAAAACUUGUGAAAUUUCGCCAAAGUAUCUGAAAUUUUAUUCUGGGUCCGUAUUGUGCUGAAAACAUUCACACAAGUACUUUCAAAUGUUCUUUGCACCCAGGCAAGGAGGCACGUCCAUAAAGAAAUCACAAAAAGAAUAUACGGGGGAGAAAAGCCAGGACGUUUUGUUUUCGGAAAACCAGUUUUGUCACUCUUUGUUUGGGACUUACUACGCCUUAUCCCUUGGGUAUUUUGGUUUGAAAUUUUUACCAGACGUUCGUCACUGUGUCUACUGAGUUUUGGCUGAGAUUUGAGCCCCAGAUUCGUUUCACGAGACUGUCAAUAAAUUGUUUUUGAUCACUGCCAUGGCUAAGAGGAAGGUUCGUUUGUGUGUGAAACUGUUUGAUUUUUUUCAUGGGUGAAUGCUCAUCCUUCUGCUGUUGCUGUUUUAAUUCUGAUGUAAUCAAAACAAUAUCUUGUUUUAUCUCUUAUCUUUGUCUAUUUGUGAAGACAAAUAGGGGGAGAUAUAUGCUGUGUUUCUAGUUUGUUUUAAGUUUCUGUUUUUCAGUUGAUAAAACAGUUUGGAAUAUGUAAUAUAUCUCUGAUAUUAGAUGUUUUAAGCUUUAAACUGUUUAUCUGUAUGCUAACAAAAUAUCAGAAGUUCAAUGUAUUGCUCAAAGUUCUAUUGCAGGAACUGCUUCAUUUAAUCAGGUACAACACAAGCAUCAGGGAUUUGUCUUCAUCAAAUAGGGGGAGAUUGUUGAACCAAGUGGUGUUCAAUGUUUUGAAGAAUCCAAAUCCUUUGAAGGAUGUUGAAGCAUCUGCUUUGCUUGAUGUUGCUGUGCUGGUUUAAGCUUUGUUCUGGGGUAGUUUAUAUGUUGUAAUCAACCCUUCGAUUAAAUCUCAAGCAAUUAGCAUCUCAAUCUUUAUGAAAAUAAAAUGUUUUUCAAACUAAGUUGAAACAACCAAUUGUUUUGUCGAAACAACCGAUUGUUUAUACUUAGGUGUUUUGAGAAAGAUUGAAAACUGUUUUUGAAUGGUUGAAACUGUUAAGUACCAAAACAACCGAUUGAUUCGAGGAAGCAACCGAUUGUUUGUUUUGGAAUCAUAAUAGAAAAACUGUUUUGUGUUUGAUUGAGCUUUAAAUGCUUUAACUGUAUAUGCUCUAGUCAUUAAAUGCUUUGACCAAUCUUUUAAUGCAAUUUAAGAGUUUGUUAAGAUUUGAUAACAAACUACAUCUUUGAAUAUAUUAAGAAAAACAUAUUUGAGAAUUAAGAAUCUUUGACAAAGUUUUUCUAAAGAGUUUUUCAAAGAGUUGAGAUUGCUAAGAGUUUGUGAUUGAUCAAGGUGCUGGAAUAGGAUUCUACUUGUAUUGAUUUCAGAUAUUCAUUUGUAACAAGUGUAAUCUUUGUACUCUGUUUAACAAUUUGUUUUUGUGCUUGCUGAGAUUGGCUAUGUGUUCUUGAGGUGUUCAAGAUCAGCAAUCUUAGUGUUGGCCAAGGAGAGUGUGUUUCUUGAGGUGUUCAAGGUCAUUCUCUUGGUUGAUUGUGUAAGUGAUCAAGGUGUGGUUGCUUAGUGGAUAUCCUCAGGAUUUCUGGAAGACUGGAUGUAGCUCUGGUUUGGAGUGAACCAGUAUAAACAACUGUGUACAAUCUCUCUAUCCCUAACUCUUUAAAUUCAGUUUAUUUGUUGUUUGCUGGUAUAAACAGCCGAUUGUUUCUACGAAACAACCAAUUGUUUUUCUGGUACUACAACUUUUGCUUGCUGUUUUGGCUAACUGAAUUGCUGAAUCAAUUGGUUUCUAAGAUAAAUUCAUUCUAGUGUUUGAAGAUUUUGCGAAAACCCUUUUAAACUAUUCACCCCCCUCUAGUUUAAAGCCAUCUUUUCUAACAACUAUUUCGAGACAAUUUUUCAAAAAUUUUGUGCAAACCAAGACUAUCCUGAUGAGAAUCAAAUAAAGGAGGCUUUUAUUAUUGAAGGAAGAGGUCAUUCACCUACACAUUUGAAGUUCUUCCUUCUAGUCUUCUCAAAAUUAAAAGAAGAUAUAAAAUAAAGAGAGGAUCAAGCCUAAAGCCAAAGAAGUCUACAGGCUUUCAAGAAUAGGCUUCAUUUAAAUAUCUCUCUUUAUAGUUUCUUUUGUAUAAAAUUGUAGAUAAUAUAGAAAAGUGUUUAGGAAGGUGCUUAUAGGAAAACCAUAGAUACCUCUUUUGUAAAGCAUCUUUAGGCUUUAGUUUAGAAUUUUCUAGAAGGUGACUCUUCAUAAGUCACUAUAGGCGUUAGCUUAGGAGACUUUUGGGUAGCUUGUGGUACAAGCUUUGUAAGCUUCAUGACCAGCCCUUGCUCCUAUAAAAGGAGGGCUUAGGUCCUUCAUAAUGCAAAUUUGGAAUUUGUAGUAUCAAAACUCUCCCAAAUUGGUGAUUGAGUGUAGUGAGAACUUGUCUUCUCCUCUUCCUAGUCUCAUCUUGAGUGCCUUGGUUCUCUCAAGUGGCGGCAUUGCACACUUAUCUUGGAGCAUUCACACUUCAAGUGGUGUGUUCAUCAACCAAGAACUACAACCACAUAAGUCCUCUUUCUUCUCCAUCUUCUCAUUCCAUUUCCGUGCCUAUUUGAAUUCCUAAACAUGUCUUAGGUUCCUUUCUUGCUUUCUAUUCGGUGUUCUUGCUUAUUUUCAUGUUUCAAUCGGUUCAUCUUCUUUCUCCUUGGAUUUGUUCUGUCCAUUUCAGUUUUGAAGCAUUUUAAUCGGUUCAUUUCAUUUGUUAUGCAAUUUAAUCGGUUCAUUUGCAUUUCUACAUCUUUUAAUCGGUUCAAUUGACAAGAAAUGGAACUUCCAUGUGAGUUUGGGUUUUGGUACUAGUUUUGGUGAGUUCUUCAUUAUAGAACAUUGAUCCAAUUCUAUUAAAAGUUCCUAUUCAAUCUCCAACUCAAGUUGAUUCCAUAGAAUGUCAAAGAAUCAUCUCUUCUUUGCUAUUGGAUUCAUAUCAUAUCCUCUACCAAAACUUGUGAAAUUUUGCCCUAGUAUAUGAAAUUUUAUUCUGGGUCCGUAUUGCGUUGAAAAAAUUCACACAUGUACUUUCAGAUGUUGUUUGCACCCAGGUAAGGAGGAACGUCCAUAAACAAAUCACCAAAAGAAUAUAAAGGGGAGAAAAGCCAGGACGAUUUGUUUCCGGAAAACUAGUUUUCUUCACUCUCGGUCUGGACUUACUACGCCUUACUCCUAGGGUAUUUUGUGAUGCAAAUUUUACCAGACAUUCGUCACUUUGUCUACUGAGUUUUGGCUGAGAUUUGAGCCCCAUAUUCGUCCCACGAGACUGUCAAUAAAUUUUUUAUUCAUCACUGUCAGAGCUGAGAGUGAGGUUCGUUUGUGUGUGAAACUGUUUGAUUUCUUUCAUGGGUGAAUACUCAUCCGUUUGACCUGAAAUUUGUCGCGUUUAGUCCCAAAUUCAGUGGACAUUCUUACAUGGAAUUUCAGGAAAAAACUAUUUCAGGAGAAUUUUUCAGAAAUUUUGUGCAAACCCAGGCUAUCCUCUUCCAAAACUUUUGAAAUUUCACCCUAGUAUCUGAAAUUUUAUUCUAGGUCCGUAUUGCGCUGAAAAAAUUCACACAAGUACUUUCAAAUAUUGUUUGCACCCUGGCAAGGGGGCACAUCCAUAAACAAAUCACAAAAAUAAUAUAUACGGGGGAGAAAAGGCAGGACGUUUUGUUUUCGGAAAACCAGUUUUGUUCACUCUCGUUCUAGGACUUACUACGCCUUACUCCUUGAGUAUUUUUGGUCUGAAAUGUUUACCAGACGUUCGUCACUGUGUCUACUGUGUUUUGGCUGAGAUUUGAGCCCCAGAUUCGUCCCACGAGAGUGUCAAUAAACAUUUUAUUCAUCACUGCCAGGGCCAAGAGGAAGGUUCGUUUGUGUGUGAAACUGUUUGAUUUUUUUCGUGGGAGAAUACUCAUCUGUUUGACCUGAAAUUUGUCGUGUUUUGUCCCAAAUUCAGUGGAGAUUCUUACGUGGAAUUUCAGAAAAAGUCUAUUUUAGGAGAAUUUUUCAGAAAUUUUGUGCAAACCCAGGUUAUCCUCUUCCAGAACUUUUGAAAUUUCGCCCUAGUAUCUGAAAUUUUAUUUUAGGUCCGUAUUGCGCUGAAAAAAUUCACACAAGUACUUUCAUAUGUUGUUUGCACCCAGAUAAGCAGGCUUGUCCAUAAACAAAUCACAAAAAGAAGAUACGGGGGAGAAACGACAGGACGAUUUGUUUUCGGAAAACCAGUUUCGUUCACUCUCGGUUUUGGACUUACUACGCCUUACUCCUUGGGUAUUUUGGUCUGAAAUUUUUAUCAGACCUUCGUCACUGUUUCUACUGAGAUUUCAGCCCUAGAUUCGUCCCAAGAGACUGUCAAUAAAUUUUUAUUCAUCACUGUCAGGGCUGAGAGGAAGGUUCGUUUGUGUGCAAAACUGUUUGAUUUUUUUCAUGGGUGAAUACUCAUCCGUUUGAUCUGAAAUUUGUUGCAUUUUGUCCCAAAUUCUGUGGAGAUUCUUACGUGAGAUUUCAGAAAAAAUUAUUUCCGGAGAAUUUUUCAAAAAUUUUGUGUAAACCAAGGCUUUAUACUCUACCAAAACUUGUGAAAUUUCGCCCCAGUAUCUGAAAUUUUAUUUUGGGUCCGUAUUGCGCUGAAAAAAUUCACACAAGUACUUUCAUAUGUUGUUUGCACCCAGGUAAGGAGGAACGUCCAUAAACAAAUCACCAAAAGAAUAUAAAGGGGAGAAAAGUCAGGACGAUUUGUUUUCGGAAAACCAGUUUUGUUCACUCUCGGUCAGGGACUUACUACGCCUUACUCCUAGAGUAUUUUGUGAUGAAAAUUUUACCAGACGUUCGUCACUGUGUCUACUGCGUUUUGGAUGAGAUUUGAGCCCCAGAUUCGUCACAUGAAACUGUCAAUAAAUUUUUUAUUCAUCACUGUUAGGGCUGAGAGGAAGGUUCGUUUGUGUGUGAAACUUUUUGAUUUUUAUUAGGGAUGGCAAAGCGGGGCGGGCCGUGCGGGCCGGCCCGCGGCCCGCAGGUAAAAAACGCGGUGCGGGUUAACCUUUUCAACCCGCUAACCCGCAUUAGCACGCCCCGCAUUAGCCCGCAACCCGUGCGGGCUGGCCUGCAAACCCGCAAGAAAAAAAAAUUGGCACUUAGUAGCAGCAGGGCAACGUAAUUAGGUUUUCACAAAAUUUCAAAGAAAGAAACACAACACAAUCGCGCUCACAUCUCACAGGGGCUCAGUUGCUGCUCCCAAACGGUCCACACACAAACGCUUUCGGCAACACCGCUGCGACUCCGCUUGCUCACGCCGCUACUGCUCCAUUGCGUCGCCUCUGAUCACUUCCGCACUGCACCAUUGCUGCAGCUACUGCCGCCACUCCUUCUCCACCACACAAGGCAAGUUUUUUUCUACAAAUUAAUUGGAGAUUUAUGUUUAUGUUGUUUGAAAUUUUGAUAUAAAUUGGGGAUUUAUGUUUAUUUGAUUUGAAAUUUUGAUAUAAAUUGGGGAUUUAUGUUUAUUUGAUUUGAAGUUUUGAUAGAAAUUGGGGAUUUAUGUUUAUUUGAUUUGAAGUUUUGAUAUAAAUUGGGAAUUUGUGUUUAUUUGUUUUGAAUUUUUUAUGUAAAUUGGGGAUUUGUGUUUAUUUUGUUUGAAAUUUUGAUAUAAAUUGGGGAUUUGUGUUUAUUUGUUUUGAAUUUUUUAUGUAAAUUGGGGAUUUGUGUUUAUUUUUUUUGAAAUUUUGAUAUAAAUUGGGUAUUUGGGUUUAUCUGCAUAUAAAUUAGGGAUUCUAUAUUUUCCAACAGGAUCUUAAUUUGCAAAUUGAUUGUAAUGGAUGAAGAAUGUAACAUGCCUCUUUGUGACUUUGAAGAUGAUAAUACUGAGAAACAAUCUGAAACUGUUGAACCUGAAAAAAAGAAAAGGGAUAAGACUAGCACAUCUGAUUGUUGGAGGUAUUUUACUAGGAUUAAGGAGGGAAAGGAUGGAAAAGAAAGGGCAAAGUGCAAUAGCUGCAACAAAAUAUAUAUAACUUGCGGAAGAAAAUAUGGGACUUCUCAUUUAAAUCGUCAUAUUAUGAAAUGUGUUAAAAGAAAAUCUGAAGAUGUGGGUCAAAUGAUUUUGGAUAUGCAGGGAAAGUUGAAGGCAAAAAAAAUAGAUCAAGUUGUACAUCGGGAAUUGUUGUCUAAUCUAGUUAUUAGCCACAAUUUGCCUUACAAAUUUGUUGAGUAUCCCGAACUUAGGACUUGGAUAAACUACUUGUGUCCUGAUGCAAUUAUGAUUUCUAGAAACACUGUUAAGGCUGAUAUUGGGAGAAUGUAUAUGAAAGAAAAAAUAAUGCUUAAGGAAUUGAUUGCUUCCAUUCCUAGUAGGAUAUGCUUAACUUCUGAUUUAUAGACAUCUAUUAAUACUGAGGGUUUCAUAUCAUUGACUGCACAUUUUGUUGACCUGAAUUGGAAGUUAAAUACCAAGCUACUAAACUUUUGUCAUAUGCCUCCCCCUCACAUAGGUUUUGAGUUGUCUAAGAAAAUUAAUGAAUUUUUACAAGAUUGGGGACUAGAGAAAAAAAAAUAUUUUUUUCCCCUCUGACUUUGGAUAAAUGCUUCCUGCUAAUGUCCAAAAUACUUUAAAAAGGCAACUUAUUUUUCAAAAUGGUUUGAUAUGUGGUGGUGAAUUCUUUCAUGUUCGUUGUUGUGCACACAUAUUGAAUUUAAUUGUUCAAGAAGGAUUAAAGGUGCUUGGUGAUGCUUUGGACCAAAUUAGAAAUAGCAUCAAGUAUGUGAGGGGUUCGGAAAGUAGAAUGGUGAAAUUUAAACAAUGCCUUGAAAGGUUUAGUGAUAUUGAUGCAUCAUCUGGGUUGUGUCUUGAUGUCCCUACAAGAUGGAACUCCACAUAUUUGAUGAUUAAUAGUGCUCUUAAAUAUCAACGUGUUUUUGGAAGCUUGCAUUUGGUUGAUGAAUCUUAUAAAUAUUGCCCUACAGAGGAAGAGUGGGAGAGAGCUAGAAAAAUUUGUGAGUUCUUGUUACCCUUUUAUGAAAUCACUAACUUGAUUUGUGCUACAAGUUAUCCUACUUCCAACUUGUAUUUUUUACAAGUUCGGAGAAUUCAGCGUUUAUUGAUGGAAAAUGUGAAGGAUGAAGAUGUACUAAUUAAGAACAUGGCUAAAUUGAUGAUAGUAAAGUUUGAGAAAUAUUGGGAUGAAUAAAGCGUUGUACUUGCAUUUGGUGCAAUUUUAGACCCAAGGAUGAAGUUAGAAACAUUGGGAUUUUGCUUUGAAAAAAUUGAAUCACUUACUUGGGAACUAAAAUUGAAAAAGAUCAAGGAAAAAUUAUACAAACUUUUUGCUGAAUAUUCUACCAAAGGUUUCACAACAUCAUCAAGUGUUCAAAAGCAAAGGCAAGGACAAUCUUCAUUCUCAUCAUCUAUGUCUAAACCAAGUCUUUUUGAUGUAAGUUAUUUACUUUAAUAAUACUUAUUAAUGCACUUUAAUUCAUUUUUAAUUUUUUUACAGCAAUCCAUUAUACUGACUUAUUACAUCAUUAUAGGAAUUAAAAAUGCGCAAGCUUCAAGUAGCUAAUAAAGCUGGAAGGUCACAACUUGACACUUAUUUGGAUGAACCAACUUUGGAUUUUGACUAUUCAGAGGAGAUGGAUGGGUUAGAUUGGUGGAAAAAUAAUAGUCAACGUUUUUCUGAUCUUGCUUUAAUGGCUAGAGAUUUGUUGAGCAUCCCUAUAACCACAGUUGCAUCAGAAUCUGCAUUUAGCAUUGGUUCUCGAAUUCUUAACAAGUAUAGGAAUCGACUUUUGCCUGAAAACUUGGAAGCAAUCAUUUGUACUUCUAGUUGGAAGCAUGGAUUUUCUGAAGGUAAUUCGAUUAUUUUAUUUUAUUUUAUUUUUAUUGUUUUUUUUUAUCAGCAAUAAGGAUUGAAUAACAGGAACCACUUAAGGGGUGGUUCAACCCUAUACAUACCUAUAUAAUAUGAAUCAAAUCUCAGGUCUCCCAAACCAAUAAGAUGAGAGAGACAAAAAAAUCUACCACUAAAAACCCGUUCAAACCCGUACAAACCCGUACAAUCCCGUACAAACUCAAAACAAACCCAAUACAAACUCACUGCAACCAUAACAAGGGCCAAAAAGAACAACAACCCUUAUCCACCAACCCAAUAGCCCACAAAAACCAACAACCAUCGAAAUAGAGAUACCUAUCACCCUAAACUGGGUCAUGCCAAUUAAAUCGAUUUCAAACACGAUAAAGGAACAAGACACCAGUCAGAAAAGGAGAAGCAAACAGAGGGUAUUUUAGAAGUUACCCAUGACCAAACCUUCAAUUGAGCCAAAAGUUAUCUUAUUUUUAUGAAAAAUUAAUUAAUUAAUUGUCAUUGUUUUAAUAUAUGCAGAUGACGGGGAAGAUUAUAAUUAUGAAAAAAUGGAUGAAAGUUCUUCUAAGGUGGCAUCCAAUGUUAUUGAGAUGGAAGAAUGUCAAUAAUGUUUAUGUUUAAUGUUUUUGAAUUAAUGUUUAUGUUUAAUGUUUUGGAAUUAGGUAUUUUUAAUGUUUUGGAAGUGGAAGAAUAGUGAUAUUUGAUAUUUAUUUUAAUGUUUAAUGUUUUGACGUUUGACUAUAUUUGAAAAGGAAGGAAAAAAAAUUAGGUUUGAUAAUAAUAAAUAUAUAGGUUUAAUUUGACAAUUUUUUAAGAACAAAAUGUAAAAAAAAAAGAACGCGGGCUGGCCAGCAAACCCGCGGGCUGGCCAGCAAACCCGCGGGCCUGCUCUUAUGCGGGGCGGGUCGGGAAUUCUAGCCCGCAAUAACUUUGCAGGGCGGGAAACCCGUCCCGCAUUUUUGUGGGCCAAGCGCGGGGCGGGCCAAUGCGGGGCGGGCUGGCCCGCUUUGCCAUCCCUAAUUUUUAUCAUGGGUGAAUACUCAUUCGUCGCACGAGACUGUCAAUAAAUUUCUUAUUCAUCAAUGCCAAGGCUGAGUAUAUGGUUCGUUUGUGUGUGAAACUGUUUCAUUUUUUUCGUGGGUGAAUACUCAUCCGUGUGACCUGAAAUUUGUCGUGUUUUGCCCCAAAUUCAUCGGAGAUUCUUACGUGGAAUUUCAGGAAAAAACUAUUUCGGGAUAAUUUUUCAGAAAUUUUGUGCAAACCAAGGCUAUCCUCUACCAAAACUUGUGAAAUUUCGCCCAAUAUCUGAAAUUUUAUUGUAGGUCCAUAUUGCGCUGAAAAAAUUCACACAAGUACUUUCAAAUAUUGUUUGCACCCUGGCAAGGGGGCACAUCCAUAAACAAAUCACAAAAAUAAUAUAUACGGGGGAGAAAAGGCAGGACGUUUUGUUUUCAGAAAACCAAUUUUGUUCACUCUCGGUUUGGGACUUACUACGCCUUACUCCUUGGCUAUUUUUGUUUGAAAUUUUUACCAGACGUUUGUCACUGUGUUUACUGAGUUUUGGCUGAGAUUUGACCCCCAGAUUCGUUCCACGAGACUGUUAAUAAAUUUUUAUUCAUCACUGUCAAGGCUGAGAGGAAGGUUCGUUUGAGUGUGAAACUGUGUUGAUUUUUUUUAUGGGUGAAUACUCAUCCGUUUGACUUGAAAUUUGUAGCAUUUUGUCCGAAAUUCAGUGGAGAUUCUUACGUGAAAUUUCAGAAAAAAGUAUUUCCGGAGAAUUUUUCAGAAAUUUUGUGUAAAACAAGGUUAUACUCUACCAAAACUUGUGAAAUUUCUCCCUAGUAUCUGAAAUUUUAUUUUCGGUCCGUAUUGCGCUGAAAAAAUUCACACAAGUAUUUUCAUACGUUCGUCACUAUGUCUUCUGAGUUUUGGCUGAGAUUUGAGCCUCAGAUUCGUCCCAUGAGACUGUCAAUAAAUUUUUUAUUCAUCAGUGCCAGAGCCUAGAGGAAGGUUCGUGUGUCUGUGAAACUGUUUGAUUUUUAUCGUGGGUGAAUACUCAUCUGUGUGACCUUAAAUUUGUCGCGUUUUGUCCCAAAUUCAUCGGAGAUUCUUACGUGGAAUUUUAGGAAAAAACUAUUUCGGGAGAAUUUUUCUGAAAUUUUAAAAUUUCGCCCUAGGAUCUGAAAAUUUAUUCUAGGUCCGUAUUGCGCUGAAAAAAUUCAUACAAGUACUUUCAUAUGUUGUUUGCACCCAGAUAAGCAGGCACGUCCAUAAAUAAAUCACAAAAAGAAGAUACGGGGGAGAAACGCCAGGACGAUUUGUUUUCGGAAAACAAGUUUUGAUCACUCUCGGAUUUGGACUUACUACGCCUUACUCCUUGGGUAUUUUGGUCUGAAAUUUUUACCAGACGUUCGUCACUAUAUCUACUGGGUUUUGGCUGAGAUUUCAGCCCCAGAUUCGUCCCAAGAGACAGUCAAUAAAUUUUUUAUUCAUCAUUGCCAGGGCUGAGAGUAAGGUUCGUUUGUGUGUGAAACUGUGUCAUAUUUUUCGUGGGUGAAUACUCAUCCGUUAGACCUGAAAUUUGUCGCGUUUUGUCUCAAAUUCAGGGGAGAUUCUUAUGUGGAAUUUAAGGAAAAAACUAUUUCGGAAUAAUUUUUCAUAAAUUUUGUGCUAACAAAGACUAUCCUUUACAAAACUUGUGAAAUUUCGCCCUAGUAUCUGAAAUUUUAUUAUAGGUCCCUAUUGCGCUGAAAAAAUUCGCACAAGUACUUUUAUAUGUUGUUUGCACCUACGUAAGCAUGCACAUCUAUAAACAAAUCACAAAAAGAAGAUACGGGGGAGAAAAGCCAGGACGUUUUGUUUUCGGAAAACCAGUUUUGUUCACUCUCGGUCUGGGACUUACUACGCCUUACUCCUUGGGAAUUUUAGUCUGAAAUUUUUACCAGACGUUCGUCACUGUGUCUACUGAGUUUUUGCUAAAAUUUGAGCCCCAGAUUCGUCCCACGAACCUGUCAAUAAAUUUUUUAUUCAUCACUGUCAGCGUUGAGAGGAAGGUUCGUUUGUGUGUGAAACUGUUUGAUCUUUUUCGUGGGUGAAUACUCAUCCGUUUGGCCUGAAAUUUGUCACAUAGUGUUCCAAAUUCAGCGGAGAAUCUUAUGUGGAAUUUCAGGAAAAAACUAUUUCAGGAGAAUUUUUCAGAAAUUUUGUGCAAACCAAGGCUAUCAUCCUCUACCAAAACUUGUGAAAUUUCGCCAUAGUAUCUGAAAUUUUAUUCUGGGUCCGAAUUGCGAUGAAAAAAUUGACACAAGUACUUUCAUAUGUUGUUUGGACCCAGGCAAGGAGGCAUGUGCAUAAAGAAAUCACAAAAAGAAUAUACGGGGGAGAAAAUCCAUGACGUUUUGUUUUCGGGAAACCAGUUUUGUUCACUCUCGGUAUAGGACUACUAGGCCUUACACCUUGGGUAUUUUGGUCACAAAUUUUUACCAGACUUUUGUCACUGUGUCUACUGAGUUUUUGCUUAGAAUUGAACCCCAGAUUCGUCCCACGAGACUGUCAAUAAAUUUUUUAUUCAUAACUGCCAGAGCUGAGAGGAAGGUUCGUUUGUGUGUGAAAUUGUUUGAUUUUUUACGUGGGUGAAUAUUCAUCCGUUUGACCUGAAAUUUGUCGCGUUUUGUCCCAAAUUAUGUGGAGAUUCUUACGUGGAAUUUAAGGAAAAAACUCUUACGGGAGAUUUUUUUUCAUAAAUUUUGUGCAAACCAAGUCUAUCCUCUACCAAAACUUCUUAAAUUUCUCCCUAGUAUUUGAAAUUUUAUUCUAGGUCCGUAAUCCGCAGAAAAAAUUCACACAAGUACUUUCAUAUGUUGUUUGCACCCAGGUAAGGAGGCACGUCAAAAAACAAAUCACAAAAAGAAGAUAAUGGGAGAAAAGCCAGGACGUUUUGUUUUUGGAAAACUAGUUUUGUUCACUCUCGGUCUCAGACUUACUACGCCUUACUCCUUGGGUAUUUUAGUGUGAAAUUUUGACGAGAUGUUCGUCACUGUAUCUACUGAGUUUUGGCUGAGAUUUGAGCCUUAGAUUCAUCCUACGAGACUGUCAAUAAAAUAUUUAUUCAUCCCAGUCAGGGCUGAGAAGAAGGUUCGUUUGUGUGUGAAACUGUUUGAUUUUUUUCGUGGGUGAAUACUCAUCCGUUUGACCUGAAAUUUGUCGCCUUUUGUCCCAAAUUCAGUGGAUAUUCUUAUGUGGAAUUUCAGGAAAAAAAUAUUUCGGGAGAAUUUUUCAUAAAUUUUGUGCAAACCUCUACAUAUAAACUUGUGAAAUUACGCCCUAGUAUCUGAAAUUUUAUUUUGGGUCCGUAUUGCGCUGAAAAAAUACACACAAGUACUUUCAUAUGUUGUUUUCACCCAGGCAAGGAGGCACGUCCAUAAAGAAAUCACAAAAAGAAUAUACGGGGGAGAAUAGCCAGGACGUUUUGUUUUCGGGAAACUAGUUUUUUUCACUCUCGGUCUGGGACUUAUUAUGCCUUACACCUUCAGUAUUUUGGUCAUAAAUUUUUACCAGACGUUCGUCAAUGUGUCUACUGAGUUUUGGCUGAGAUUUGAGCCCCAGAUUUUUCUCACGAGACUGUUAAUAAAUUUUUUAUUCAUCACUGCCAGGGCUGAGAGGAAUGUUCGUUUGUGUGUCAAAUUGUUUGGCUUUUUUCGUGGGUGAAUAUUCAUCCGUUUGACCUUAAAUUUGUCGCGUUUUGUCCCAAAUUUAGUGGAGAUUCUUACGUGGAAUUUCAGGAAAAAAGUAUUUCGCGAGAAGUUUUCAGAAUUUUUGUGCAAUUUCGCCCUAGUAUAUGAAAUUUUAUUCUAGGUCCGUAUUGCACUGAAAAAAUUUACACAAGUACUUUCAUAUGUUGUUUGCACCCAGGUAAGGAGGCACGUCCAAAAAAAAAUCACGAAAAGAAGAUACUGGGGUGAAAAGCCAGGAUGUUUUUGUUUAGGAAAACCAGUUUUGUUCACUCUCGGUCUCGGACAUACUACGCCUUACUCCUUGGGUAUUUUGGUUUGAAAUUUUUACGAGAUGUUCGUCACUGUGUUUACUGAGUUUUGGCUGAGAUUUGAGCACCAGAUUCAUCCAACGGGACUUACAAUAAAUAUUUUAUUCAUCACUGUCAGGGCUGAGAGGAAGGUUUGUUUGUAUGUGAAACUAUUUGAUUUUUUUCUUGGGUGAAUACUCAUCCGUUUGACCUGAAAUUUGUCGCCUUUUGUCCCAAAUUCAGUGGAGAUUCUUCUGUGGAAUUUCAGGAAAAAACUAUUUCCAGAGUAUUUUUCAGAAAUUUUGUGCAAACCAAGGCUAUCCUCUAAAUUUCGCCCUGGUAUCUAAAAUUUUAUUCUGGGUCCGUAUUGCGCUGAAAAUAUUCACACAAGUACUUUCAUAUGUUGUUUGCACCCAGGUAAGGAGGCACGUCCAUAAACAAAUCACAAAAAGAAGAUAAAGGGGAGAAAAGCCAGGACGUUUUGUUUUCGGAAAACCAGUUUUGUUCACUCUCGGUCUGGGACUACUACGCCUUACACAUUGGGUAUUUUGGUCAGAAAUUUUUACCAGACGUUCUUCAUUGUGUCUAAUGAGUUUUGGCUGAGAUUUGAGCCCCAUAUUCGUCCCACGAGACUGUCAAUAAAUUUUUAUUCAUCACUGCCAGGACUAAGAGGAAGGAUCGUUUGUGUGUGAAACUGUUUGAUUUUUUCGUGGGUGAAUUUUUUCUGGAAACUCUAUGUUUUGUUUAAGUGAUCUUUAUUCUGCUGCUUUACUGCUGAUGUUUUGGGGUUUUAGCUGCUACUUUGUUUAAGCAAAACAUAAGUUUUGUUUUACUGCUCUAACCUCUCCCAUAUAUGUUGUACUUUGCUUAAACUUUGCUUUGCAGGAACUGCUUCAGAUUCAAUCAAGUCCAACACAAGCAACCAGGGAUUUGUCUUCAUCAAUUAGGGGGAGAUUGUUGAAUCAAGUGUGUUCAAGCUUUGAAGAAUCCAAAUCGUAGUGUUUGAUGUAAAGCUGGAGGUGCUCUUUGAUGUUGUUGUGCUUUAGAAUAGGAUCUGGGGUAGAUUAUAUUUGUAAUCCACUCUUUGUUGAAUAUAAAGCUUAAGUGUUUUCAAAUCUUUUAAGUUUAAAGUGUUUUUCAAACUAAGUGAAAAACAACUUGUUUAGUCGAAACAACCGAUUGUUUUAUACUUAGGUGUUUUUGAAAUUGUUGAAAACUGUUUUGGAUGGUUGACUUGCUGUCAAACCAAAACAACCGAUUGAUUCGCUAUUUCAACUGAUUGUUUGUUUGAAAUCCUAACAAAAAUAGUUUUGUUAGUUAAAUGAGCUUUAAUUGAUUUUAUAACUGAAUACGCUCCUGCUUUAAAUGUUUUAACCAAGAUUUGAAUACUAUAAAUAGUUCGUUAAUGUUUUAUAACAAACAAGAAGAAAGAAAAACAAAUUUGAGUUUUUCAAAGAGCUUUUCAAAGAUUUGAGUUUUCACUUUGAGCUUUGGUUAUUCAAGAGAGAAGUGGAAUAUGAUUACUCUAUAUUGAUUUCAGUUGAUUCUGUAACAGUGUAAUUCGUUCUAAAGAGUUGUGUGCUCUUGAGGUUGUUAACAUCAACAUUCUUGGUGUGUGUGCUGAGCCAAAGGAAGUGUGUUUCUUGAGGGGAUCAAGGUCACUUCUUUGGUGGUGUGUGUAUGUAAUCUGGAUUUGAUUACCUAGUGGAUUCCCCAGUGGUUUCUAGGAAACUGGAUGUAGCUCUUGGGUUAAGAGUGAACCAGUAUAAACUGUUUGUGCAUUUCUCUCUUCCUUAAACUCUUUAAUUUCAUUUUUUGUUAUUUUUACUGGUAUAUACAACCGAUUGUUUUUCUGGUGCUUUACUGGUUUGAGCUUUGUUCUUGGCAAACUGAGUUCCUAAAUCUGGUUUCUUGCAAAGAAUUUCAUUCUAUCUUAAAAAGUUUGCGUAAACCUCCUUUAAACCAUUCCCCCCCCCCCCUUCUAGUUUAAAGCCAUACAUUCUAACACAAGGGAAGUGGAGUGAGUGAGGCCAACAAAAGAUGUACCUGAAUGUGCAACAAAAGUCGUGGAACUAGGGUUCUGAUCCUCAUACCAUUUAAGAAAUUCAUUGAAAAUAGCAGGUUGGCCUGAGGUAUCAAUUAAAGUAUGGUCCAUAGUAGAAGGUUGCACAGGGGCAGUUUGUGCAACCGCAACAGAUUUAGGAGGACGACCAUGUAAGGAAUAACAUCUGUUAAUUUUGUGGCCAAGUUUGCCACAAUGGUCACACUUGUGACGCCCUUUGCCCGGCUUGUGAGGGCGAGGACGAUCAUUAUGCUGAGAGACUAAAGCAGAAGAAUCAUCAACAUGAGACGUUAUAUCAGUGGUGUGUUUACCUGGCACACACAAAAGGGUAGAACAAGUGUAAGUAAAAUUGGGCACAAUAGGAGAUCCCAAAAUUUGAUCACGAACAUGAUAAUAAUCAUUAGGAAGGCCAUGUAAACCCAAUAACAUGAAGAACUUGGAUCUUUGUUCUAGUUCUUGAGAAGGAGUGGGAGCAUGAGGUAAUAACUCAUUAAAAUCAUGAAGAAAAGCAUGAAGUUUACCCAGAUAUUAUGCCAUUGUACCAUCAAGACAUUUGGAAGCAACAAUUGUGAGAAGAUUUUGACACACACCAUAAAGACGUUGAGUAUCAUUGGUGUAUAAUAAUUUUGCUUGUUCCCAAACUUCUGAACAUGUCUCAUAGGUACGAAAUAUUUGCUUUAAAGAUGAGUGAAUGGUAGAUUUUAUAACAGUGCAUAAUUGAGCAUAAAUUUUCAACCAACGGGAAACCUCAUUUUCAGCAACAGUAGGAUGGGAAAGAUGAUCAACAUAACCUUGACUCUUAAGCCAUAAUUUAAUAUCUGAUGCCAAAGUGUCAUAAUUGGUUCCAUCCAAUUUGUCAAUGGAGAGAUGAACAUUGAUGUAAUUAGUAUAAAUAGAUGGAUUCGGCAUAAUGACUGCGAAAGAAGCCACAGUGGUAGCGGCAGCGGAAGAAGCCAUAGUGGCAGCGGAAGCGGAAGAAGCCAUAGAGGAUAAGGACAAAUCAAGUCACUUGUUAAUUGGCGACAACAACAAAGAUGAAGGCUCUGGCAGCGUCUCUGGCGGAGGCUCCGGUGAGAUUCUGGCGGCGACUCUAGUGAGAUUCUAGCGACAGCUCCGGCAAGGUUCUGGCGAGGUUCCAGUAGCGGCUCUAGCGAGGUUUCGACGGCGACUCCGGCGAGGCGGUGGGGCAGUGGCUGGAAAAUUCCAAUGAAUAGUGGGUUCACCAAAAAUUGAACCCUAACCCUAUGCUUUGAUACCAUAUUAAAGGAAAAGAAAGAAUAGGGUAAAUCCCUUGUGUAUAUUGAACACAUAGGGUUAUGUUUAUAUAAGAAAAGAAACAUAUGGGUUAAGCCCAUUACAUAAAUAUGAAAUAUCUAACAAUAUCUAUAAUAUAUAAUAAUAUCUAAUUAUAUCUAAUAAUAUGUAAUAAUACCUAACAAUAAUAAAAAUUUAUGCAAUAAGUUUGAGUUAUUAGAAAAUUAAUAUAUUUCUCCUUUUUAAAAUUGUCUUACAAUCGUGCUAGAAUUGUCAGAAAUCCAACAAAUAUUUUUUGAAUUGGACACUUCACCGAUACGUGUCCCACAAGUGUCGUACGAGUCUCAGUGUCCAAUACAGGUGUCUGACAUGGACACACCAUUUAAGAGGAGUGUUUGAGCCUUAUAGGACACAACAGCAAGUUUGGUCUCCCAAACCUUGCAUACUACUUACUUCCUUUCCUCAACGACAAAUUUCCCCACCUUUACUAUUGAGACGGAUUUAAGUCGACCUUUUCAUUGGUUUUGUAUCUGUACAGAUCAUCUUUUUGACUAUGUUGCAUUAUUGUUUCUCUUCUUCUAACACUUCAUCAACUCAUCAAUUUCUUCUGUGGAAUCGUCAUCUUCAUGAUCAAAUCUGCCAUGGAUGUACGAUGUGCUCAUCAACUUUAAUGGAGAAGACAUCCAAAAGAAAUUUGUUUCUCAUCUCGAUUCUGCCCUCUUUGAUGUUGGCUUUACCACUUUCCUUCACUACCCCAAUGCACUCAACACAACGCACAUCCAACAACCUAUUCUCAAUCUCUCUUGUGUAACAAUUAUUGUUUUCAGGAAAUCCUAUAUUCAAUCUGCUUGGUGUCUUCAUCAAUUUCAACAAAUCAUUAAAUGGCACAAAACUUAUAGUCUACAUUAUUAAGGAAAUAAUGAUUAUCAAAUUAUACGCAAUUAACUUGAUAAUGAUAGAAUCUCACGAUUAUUGGAUCACAAAAUCCCAUGAUUAGUGGACUACCACAUAUGGAGUGUUGUAAAUACACACAAGAAUAUAAGAAAUUACCAUUUUCUUAUAUGGUAUCAGAGCAUCGAUCUUGGUGCUUUAAUAACCUCUCCAUUUUUAUCCGCUAAAUAAGAGAUCAUGUCUGAUAAGGAAGACACAGUAACGCCGCCAAGUCGGCUGCCAUGGAACCAACCAAUCCCUACUAUCUUCAUCAUUCGUACAAACCUGGACACAUGUUGGUGUUGACCAAAUUGAACGACACCGAUUAUCAAUCCUGGAAGACAACAAUGAUGCACACACUCACAGCGAAGAAGAAACCUAUUUAUAGUAGAAACAAUAAGUAAGAAAUGAAUUGAGUUAAAAAGGAUCAAGACUUUGAAUCUUAUACCACACCUGUUAUAUAUGUUAUCAUAAUUAUUAUUAAUGUUAGAAAACAGUGGACGAAACUUGAAGCCAAUUUCCUUGAGUGACCAAAGAAGCUUUAACCACCACACCAGACCAGUUCUUUUUGUCAUAUUAUGAUUUUUAUUAUACUUAUUAUUAUUAUUAAUAUCAUUUAUAUUAUUAAUAUUAUUCAUAAUAUAACUAUUAUUAAUAUUAUGAAUAUCAUUUAUAUUAUUAAUAUUAUAAACAUUAUAAAUAUAAUUAGUAUUAAUAGUAUUAUUAAAUUUAUUAUUAUUAUUAUUAAUAUUAAUAUUAAUAUUAUCAUUAAUAUUAGUAUUGUUAUUAUUAAUAUAAAUAAAAAUAUUAAUAUCAAUAUUAUCAUUAAUAUCAAUAUUAUUAUUAUUACAAUUAUUAAAAAUAUUUUUUAUGUAAUACUUUAUAUUUGGAUACAUGUAAUAUUCCCGUUUCAUACGCUUCAUGCAACACCUAAUUUUAUUUUUAGUUUUUUAAUGGGCUGCAACACAUAUGGUGGAAUUAGAAAAAAGGUGUUAAAAUUCUAAUUGAAUUUAGAUGGAGAUAAUCAAUAUGAAAUAUUAUUAUUGAUACCAAUACUUAUGUUAUUUUUUCAUUUUUUUUAAUUUUAAUAUUAUAAAUUUUUCUUUAAUUAAAUUAAAAGAAUAAUUAAACUAAAAUUACUUUUUUAAUUUAUUUAUAACAACGUAAUACAUCUUAAAAUUAUUUCAAUUCCAUGUAACCUUCUUUUAUAUUUUCAUUUUUAAUUUUUUUUUUAUUUUAGUUAGAACUAUAUGAAUCUAAAUGCUAUGUAAAAAUCCGUAUGUAAUGCUCACUUUACAUAUGGAUCUGGAUCCGUAUGUAAAAAUCGAUAUGUAACACUUACUUUACAUAUGAAUCUGGAUCCGUAUGUAGCUAACUUUACAUACAAAUUUGGAUUUGUAUGUAAAAAUCGGUAUGUAACAAUUACUUUACAUACAAAUCUGGAUCCGUAUGUAAAAAUCCGUACGUAACGCUGAUAAGUGCCAAUGUGUAGUUUUUAUGAUUGAGAAAAUUGAACACUUUGGAACUUAAUUGUUGCUUAAUGUAAGAAAAUUACCCUAAUCUGAGAAUUAUUGAAUCUGAUUAUAUAUUUCUUGAACCAAGAAACAAAUGAAGAAAUUUAAUCUCAAUUUUUGUGUAAAUUGCAGAUGAAUAUGAAGCAUUGAAAGAAUGUAUUCAAGCUGGCAUUGAAAGAAGAAAAAGUAAAAACUGAAUUGGAUCACAAGAAGAUUUAGCUCAAGCUAGAGGAUUUAGCUCAAGCUAAAACUGUCCAGAGUUGAUUAAAGGUGCAGUACAAUUUUAGCCCAGGCUAGAAUUGCUAGCUCAAGCUAAAACUGUCCAGAGCUGAUUAAAGGUGCAGUACUGAUCUAGCUCAGGCUAGAAUCGCUAGCUCAAGCUAAAAAUGCACCGAAAGAUCUAGCUCAAGCUAAAACAGGCUAGCUUGAGCUAAAGUUGAUUAUAUAAAUUCUGAAACAUAACUCAAAACCAGCGGUGGAAAACAGAUUAGGUUUUUUAGAGAGAGACUAGUGAGAGAAAGGGAAGAAACCUCUGUUCUUAGGAGAAGAACUUGCUCAGAUCAGCCCUUCUUAUGCAAUCCAGAUCAAGAAUGAAGAUUGGAGGAGCUGUCAUGAGUGGCUAAGUUCUUUCUAACUUGGGAUUGAAUGUAAUUUAUCUUGAUCAAAUGUAUUCUUGGUGAUAUAUAUAUAAAAUUCUCUUUUCUACUUGUUCUUGGUAUUUUCGUUUUAUGCUUAUUGCUUGAUUCUUUCUAAUCAAUAGAGUCUUGAUUUUGAUCCUUAAAUUUAACUGGAAAGUACCUUUAAGGAUCUGAAAUAGACGAAAAUGCUUGAUAACUUGUAAUGCUAGGAAUAGAUUCCAGGUUAUUGAUUGCAUGAUAAUUCUGUUCCUAAAGCUGGAUGAUUUGUUAAAUAUGUGAGGAAUGAAUGUUUAAGAAAUUAUCUUAUGAAUUUUAUCUGUGAGGAAUCAAGAUGAAUGACUUUAAAUUAAGCAUCAAGAAUAAGUAGUUUUGAGUAUUAUAUAUUGUAUUAUUCAAAAUACAGAUGAUUGAGAUAAACACAAUUCAAUCCCAAGUAUCUUUCUCUAUAUUUGAUAAGUUAGUUUGGUAUUUGGUUGAAUCAAACCCUAAAUCUUUGAGUUCUUGUGAAAUCUUUAAUUUGGUUAUGAACAAAGUCUCAAAAUUAUUUUCUAUACUUAAUGAGUUUUAAAACAGAACAUCUUAAUUAGAAUUGUUCCCUGUGGGUUCGACAUUCGUACUUUAAAGAGUACUAUAUUACAGUUGAUUCGGUACACUUGCCGAAGAAAUAAUCAACAAACGCUCACUUUACAUACGAAUUAUCCGUAUGUAAAAAUCCAUAUGUAAUGUUCACUUUACAUACGGAUUCAGAUCCUUUUCAGUAUGUAAAUAACAGUUAUGUAGUGUUAUACCCUAUAUAAUGGCGCUGAAAUCCUUUUCAAUGAAUUAAAUUGUGACAGUUAUGACUGACACUAUUUACAUAUAAAAAUCGGCAUUUUAAACAAAGUGUUAAAUUGGCGGGUGUUGCGGAAGGUAGCUUAAGACUGCCACAUUAAACUUUGUGGUGGCCAAUCCUAUGAUGGUUUGGGAAACCAUCACACGCGUAUAUUGUGGUGUUUAUAAACGCUAGUUUAUACGAAAAUAAUUGUCGCAUUAUACACCUUUUUUUGUAGUGAUUGUUUUAAGAAAAAGAAGUAUAAUAAAAAUAAAUUUGCAAUUUAAUUAUGUGAAAAAUUAUUAAAAUAACAUUAGUAAGAGUUGUUUUAUGGGUGUAAAAUAAAAUUUCGGCAAUGUUUCAGGAGAUAUAUAUCAGAGAGAAGCAACCUGAUUUAAUCUGAACACAUUAAUACCAUGUUAGAAUAAGCUCGAGAAAACAAUUUUUUUUAUGAAGUUUAGGAGAGAUGAAUAUUCAUUUCAAAUAAGACAGAAAAAGGGAGAAUCAAAACAAAAUAUGUCUUUUUUUUUAUAUAACCAUGCCUAAAGCAGUGCAACAUAAAAGUAUGCAGCAGAGCAAAAUGCAAAAACAGAAUGAGUCAUCAAUAUAAUAUACAUGUGUACCUACAAAAUAUGUUUUUUUGUUUCUUUAUUUUAAUUUAAAAUAAUAAUUUAAUUGUUAAAAAGUAACUGUAAAAUUUUAUUGUUUUUAAUAUGUAAAGGAUAAAAUUGAAAAAUUAAAUGUAUAUGCAAAAGAGGAAAAUUCUAUUGUUAUAGACUAAUAUUAAUAAUAUUAUUAUUAAGUUAAUAUGAUGGCUAGCAUGGGUUUUUUUGAAAAAUGGGUCUAUUGGAUCAAAGAAUACCUCAAAUAUGUUGAAGAUGAAUGAAGCUUAGUCUCUACCUAGCCUUAGUGUGUUUGAUGUAGAAUUUAGCUAGUUUGCUUUGAAGGUUGCAAUGUGUCUUAGAUGAUCUUGUACUUUAGGUUUGUGUAUGUUCAAGGUUGCUUUUUGCUACAUGACCCAUCCUAGAUGCCAAAUCAAGGUAGUAAGAUCAAGCACAUGAUGUGGUUAAAUGGUUUUGGAAAAGUUUUUUAAAGUUUUCUUAAAAGGUUUGACUCAGUACAAAAAUAAAUUUGUUUACUUGAGAAACAAUGGGUUUAUUUUUGCUCUAUUGAAAGAUUUUUCGAAAUUCAGUUAGGGCACCAAAGUUAAAGCUCAGUCUGUUAUUUCAGUUAAGGUGAGUUGGCAGUUUUGUUAACAUUUAACCUGUUGUUUUUAGAAUAAAUCUGUUGUUUUUAAAACUGCUUUGAAACUGCUUUUUGAAAAGUGGUUAGAAACUGUUCUCUAUAAAAUAAAAUGCCCUUCUCACAUAAAGAGAGCUGAGCAAUCACAGUUUUAACAGAGAUAAAACACUUCUUGUGUGAGAAAGAGAAUUGAAAAGGUUUUGCAAAGGUUUUUUAGUAGGAAAAUAGAUGUGUGCUUGUUCUUGAAGAACCUUGUGCUGGAUGAAGGUGUUGGUACUGUCUUGAAGCAAAUAGAACAACUGGUAUAUGUUCUUGCAUCACUUUUCAAGUGUAAUCUUUCCGUUAUUCGUUCUUGUAAUAGGUGUAAGUGUUAGUCACUCUUGAUAAGAUUUCUUGGAGUGCAAGGUGUGCUGAAAUAGUGUUUUUCAGCCUUGUUUGUUGAAGUUCUUGUAGGGUUCAAGAACUGUUGUGUAUGCUGUAAUUGAUUGUAUCUGUUUUAGUGGAUUCCACCUUGGAGUAAGGUGAACUGGACGUAGCUCUUGAUGAGUGAACCAGUAUAAAAAUUCUCUUGUGUUUCUCUUCUCAUCCCUGCACUUAUUUAUGAGUUUUCACAUAAUUUGUCAAGAAAGGAAUCUGUUCUUUUAAAUCUAAAUUUGUUAACUCUAGACCUGAUAAAAUCUGUCAUUCUAACUUGUUAAUCAAUCUUCUAAACAUAAAUCAAGCUACUGUGUGAAUCUGUAAUAUGGCUAAAGUGUGAAUUGUUUUCCUUGACUGAACUGUGGCAUUUGUUCAUUCUCCUAGAUGCUUUGUGUUAAGUAAAAUUGAUUAAUCUUGUGAUAUAAUCUGCAAUUUGUAAGUUGUAAAAGUUAAUCAAUUUGUUUCUGCUAUUCUUGCUGGUUGAUCUAAAUCUUGUUGAUCAAGUUCUGUUUGUGCUAAAGUCAUUUGGAAAAUCAAUCUGUUUCAUUUAAAAUCAAUCUGUUCUUUUCAUCUCUGUCACACUGUAAAUCAGUUUCUUUUGCGAAAAUUUGAUAAGCUCAAUUCACCCCUCCCCUCUUGAACUUAGACGUUGUUUAACUCUAACAGAAUCUUCUUCUAUCUUUGUUUUAGUUAAUGAAAGUCCAUCUAAGUAAUUCAAACCGUCUAGAGGUCUAAGACAAGGGGAUCCAAUUGCACCGUUCUUAUUCAUAAUUGUGGCCGAAGGCCUAUCAAGUUUAUUAAAUCAAGGGCUACAAAGGAAGUGUUUUCUGAAUUAAAAGUCAGUGCAAAAAAUAUAGAGGUGAAAUUACUUCCUUUUGCAAAUGACACUUUGAUCAUGUGUAAAUCUAAUAUCCAAAAUAUUAGUGGUAUUAAAGGGAUCCUUAAAUGUUUUGAAAUUUGCUCAGGGCUUAGAAUAAACUUCUUUAAGAGAAAAAUUGGAGUUAUAGGAGUGGACAAAAAUGUGUUAGGAUCUUUCUUUGAGGUUCUCCAUUGCAACAUUAUGAAUAUUCCUUUUUUAUAUCUUAGUUUACCUAUUGGGGGAAAUUCUACUAAGGUUUCUUUUUGUGACCCAGUGCUUACAAAGGUUAAGAAGAGGCUAUCUAUGUGGAAAGGUAAAAAUCUAUCAUUUGCAGGUCGUGUGUGCUUCAUUCAUUUUGUGUUGAAUGCAACCCCUUGUAUUAUCUCUCUUUCUUCAAAGCUCCAUCAUCUAUAUGCAAAAAGAUUACAAAGUUACAACGUAAGUUCUUGUGGGGCUGGGAUAUUGAGGGAAGGAAAAUUGCUUGGAUUAAAUGGGAUAAUUUAUGUAAACCUAAAGCGAAAGGUGGGUUAGGCAUAAAGCAGAUAGACAUUUUCAACAAAGCUUUACUUGGCAAAUGGAAAUGGAGACUUGGGUCUCUUGAGAACUGUUUAUGGAAAGAUAUUCUUGCUUCUAAAUAUGGUUCUUGGAGAAAUUUAUCUGAAUCUAAAGUUUCAAAGCAUGCUUCAAGAUGGUGGUUCCAUUUAAACAAAGUGUGUGAGGAUGAGCAGGGCAUCAAUUGGUUUGAUUCUAAUAUGGAAUGGGCGGUUGGGUCUAGUGAAAAAGUUAAGUUGUGGGAAGAUGUUUGUGUUUAUAUUGUUUGGGUUUAUAACUGUCAAUUGAAAGCUAGAUUCCCAAGGUUGUUUAAUAACUCUCUCAUCAUAGAUAAUUCCUUGUGUCGCUUUGGUAAUUGGAACAGAGACAACUGGGUUGAGAAUUAAAGUGGAGAAGAGAGUGGUUUAAAUGGGAGAAGGUCCAAGUAGAUGAAUUUAUGACUAUGCUAGAAGGUCAGACCUUGAAAAUAGGUAAGGAGGAUAAAUGGUUAUGGAGAGACCCGCAAACCUGUAAGUACUCUGUCAAAUCUGCAUAUGCAUUCGUUUCUAAUCCUAUCCCAAGUGCAUCUAAGGAUAUGUAUAGGGUUAUGUGGGGCUUGUUAGUCUCACCAUCGGCCCAAUGUUUUGUUUGGAGAGCAUUGCAAAACAGGAUCACCAAAAAGCAAAAUCUGAUUAGAAGGUCGGUCCACCUUGCGGAUUCAUUAUGUGUUUUAUGUGGGAUCGAGGAGGAAAUGUCCUCACACCUUUUCUUAAGUUGUCAGAUUGCGAGCGUUGUUUGGAAUUGCUGUAGUAAAUGGAUUGGGGUUAGAUCUGUAAAUCAUUUUGCUCUGAAGGAACACUUUGAACAAUUUCAUUGCCCUUAGCUUAGCAAAGAAGGCAAUAAGUUGUGGAAAUGAGUGUGGGUAUCUAUCAUCUGGUGCAUUUGGAAACAUAGGAAUGAGAUUGUGUUUAACCAAGCAAAAGUGGAUGCGGGUGAAAUCUUUGGCCUGACCCAAAUGCAAUUGUGGGCUUGGUUAAAAAUACAAGACUUCAAUGACGCUUUUUUCUUUUUCCGACUGGGUCCAAUGUCCGAAUACUUGCAUUAAUAUAACAGUAAAACGUUGAUUUUGUGAGGAUAGAGAGGUUGUAUGUAUUGAUUGGUUUUUGUUCCUUUUUUAGGAUGUUUUGAGAGUAUGUAAUGUACCCUUAAAGUGUAUAAGGGUUGGAGCACCCCUUUGUGCUCCUUUUCUAUUAAUUUAUUUUUUUGCCAAUUAAAAAAAAAGUUUACAAAGGAUGUUAACCAUAUUAAUUAAUUCAAUUCGUCUGCCUAUAUAUUACGCAUAUCUAUAUGAGUACUUAAGAGUGAAAUAUUAAAUAAAUUUAUUUUCCCUUCCACUCAUUCUCUUUCUUAUUAAUAUAUUACUCUAUAAAUAGGUUGAUAUUUCUUAUGUAUAGUGUUCUUUGCACACACAUUCCAACUAAGAGUACCUCCUGAUAGAAGGCAUGAAGAUCUCAUCUACGCUUUGAAAAGAAAGAUUAUAUAAGAUAAUCUCCACUCGUGUAAGAAAGAAAAGUACAAUGUAUUUUUUUAGUUCUUGCAAAUAUAAUACUUUUGUUAUACAUGUCAAUUUUUAUUUUAAAUCCAACCACAUUAGUUUCAUGUUAUUAUCCCCAGUCACUUCAAAAAAAUUAACAGAAGCUAAAAACAACUUUUUAAAAGUACAGAACUAAGAUAAGAAUAAAAGUGCAUGGAUCAAAAAUAAAAAUAUAGUUAAGAGGGAAAAUAUUUAACCGUGACAAAGGUUUUAAAAAGAGGUGACAAGAUGCAUUAGAGAAGUAGAAUAAAACUUUCACUUAUUUUUUACGCCAUGAUUAAAUUAGUAAAUAAAAAAUUGAUUAAAUUGUUGAAAGUUAUAUAACUUUUAACGUUUUUCAUGAGUUUAGACAUGCUAAACUAGAAAUGUAGAAUUCAAAAUCAAUAUAAAUAAAAGAAAAAGAAAAUAUUUGCUUAAUGAUUUUAACAAAAUGACAUUGAAAUAAUGUUAUAAACUGAUUAUAGAUAAACUGAAUGUUUUUCUAAACUGUGUUUAUACCUACAUUAACCUGUUUUAGAUAUACAUGUGUAAUGUGAAAGAUGAUAAUGUUAUAAGCUUUUAAAACUUUAAGCGAUAUUUGCAUUAUCUCUUCCACGACCACUAAAAAAGUACUUUUAUUAUUGUGUCUGUAGAGAUCAUCUCUUUGACUGUGUUGCAUUAUUGCUUUCUCUUCUAAACACUUCAUCAACUCCUUCCAUGGAAUUGGCGUCUUCAUCAACCAAACUCUCAAAGAUGUACGACGUGCUCAUCAACUUCAAUGGAGAAGACAUCCAAAGGAAAUUUGUGUCUCAUCUCGAUUCUGCCCUCUCUGCUGUUGGCUUCACCACUUUCCUUCACCACCCCAAUGCACACAACCCAAUUCACUUCCAACAACCUAUUCUCAAUCUCUCUCGUGUAGCAAUUGUUGUUUUCACCACAACCUAUUCUCAAUCUGCUUGGUGUCUUCAUCAGCUUCAACAAAUCAUCAAAUGGCACCAAACUUAUUGCCGACAUGUUCUGCCUGUUUAUUACGAAAUCCAGUCAUCUGAUGUACGUCUUCAGAUGGGUGAUUUUGGAAAAGCCUUCAAAGCCACUGCACAACAAACAUUCUCACCACAACAACUGGAGCAUGGCAUGUCCAGAUGGAGCCACGCACUCACCAAAACUGCAAAUUUCUUUGGAUGGGAUGAGAGCAAUUACAGGUAAAUCACUCACUUACUAAGCUUGUACUUCAAUUUUGGUAAUACAUGACUUGUUCAAUAAUUGUUAUUGACUUUGAAGGAGUGAUGCUGAACUAGUGGACAAAAUUGUUAAGACCGUUCUUCAUUUACCAAUCUUGUCUGCUACAAAAUUUCCAGUUGGAUUAGAAUCCCGUGUGGAGGAUGUGAUUCGAACCAUAAAAAGUAAAUCCACCCAAGUUUUUACUAUAGCGAUAUGUGGAAUGGAAGGAUCGGGUAGAACCACUCUUGCCAAAGCCAUCUACAAUCAAAUUCAUGGUACAUUCACGGAGAAAAGUUUCAUCGAAGAUAUUGCACAAGUUAGUCAAACAAGAGGGUAUGUUCCUUUACAAGAACAAUUUCUUUCAGAUGUACUAAAAACAAAGGUGGAGAUAAGUGACGUUCAGAUGGGAAAAAGUAUGAUUUGGGAAAGACUAUAUGGGAAAAGGGUGCUUCUUGUACUUGACGAUUUGAAUGACUAUGGCCAAUUAGGCCUCUGGGGAACUAGUUCAUGGUUCGGUGAAGGAACUGUAAUAAUCAUUACAGCGAGAGAUGAAGUAGACCUGCCGAGUAUGCUUGAAGUUGAUUCUGUUUUUCAGAUGAUUCCAAUGAACGCAAACGAGUCCCUUGAGCUUCUUAGUUGGCACGCAUUUAGAGAACCAAAACCAAAAAAAGAAUACCGUGUACUUGCAAAAAGAGUAGUUGCUUAUUGUGGAACACUACCUCUAGCUCUCGAAGUCAUUGGAACUUAUUUAUACAAAAGGACGAAAGAUGAAUGGAAUAGAGUAUUGAUAAGAUUAGACAAUAUUCCCCAGCAUGAAGUUCCACAGAUAUUGAAAAUAAGUUUUGACGGUUUAGCUAAUCAAAUAGAAAAAGAUUUAUUCCUUGAUGUAUGUUGUUUCUUUGUUGGUAAAAGCAGAGCCUAUGUUACCAAGAUCCUAAAUGGCUGUGGAGUAGACUCUGAUAGUGGAAUAAGAGUUCUCAUAAAGCGUAACCUCAUCAAAGUUAAAGAAAACAACAAAUUUGGAAUGCAUCAUUUGCUACGAGAAAUGGGAAGAGAAAUUAUUAGUGAAAUUUCAAGAAAGGAAUCUGGGAAGAACAGUCGACUGUGGCCUCAUGAGGAUCUAAAACAUGAAUUUUCAGUGAAUACUGUAAGAGCAUUCUUAAUCUAUGAUUUUGAAACUUCUUUUGGAAGUGGUUGAUUUCUCAUGUGCAAUACCAAUGUUUUUCUUAGCUCUUUUCAUCACCGGGUAAAAAAGUCAUUCAGAGAUUGUCUAGCGGAAGAGAUUUCUUCGAAACUUAUCCUGUAGAGGUAAGAGACCCAUCACCGGAUACAAAAGUCUUCGAACUCCCUGGACUGCUGAAACUCCCUUGGAAAUUCGAACCACAUUCUAAAAUUACCUACCUUAACGCUUGACUUUUAUNNNNNNNNNNNNNNNNNNNNNNNNNNNNNNNNNNNNNNNNNNNNNNNNNNNNNNNNNNNNNNNNNNNNNNNNNNNNNNNNNNNNNNNNNNNNNNNNNNNNNNNNNNNNNNNNNNNNNNNNNNNNNNNNNNNNNNNNNNNNNNNNNNNNNNNNNNNNNNNNNNNNNNNNNNNNNNNNNNNNNNNNNNNNNNNNNNNNNNNNNNNNNNNNNNNNNNNNNNNNNNNNNNNNNNNNNNNNNNNNNNNNNNNNNNNNNNNNNNNNNNNNNNNNNNNNNNNNNNNNNNNNNNNNNNNNNNNNNNNNNNNNNCACCAAUCUAUUGGAUGUCUCUGCAAUCUUAUACUGCUAAAUUUGAAGGACUGUACAAGUCUAAGCACUCUCCCCAGAGAGAUAUGUAAGUUGAAAUCUUUGAAAACUCUCAUUAUAUCUGGUUGUUGGAAAAUUGACCUAUUGGAAAAAGAUAUAGUGCAAUUGGAAUCCUUGAGAAUUCUAAUUUCUGAAAAUACAGAUGUGAAACAAGUGCCUUUUUCAAUUGUAAGCUCAAAAAGCUUUGCAUAUUUAUUCCUACCUGCAUUUGAGGGAUUAUCACAUAAUCUUUUUCCUUCUGUGAUUCGGUCUCUGAUGUCGCCAACAAUGAAUCCCUUAUCUUAUAUUCAUUCCUUCAUGGAUAUGGAGGAUAAUAGUUGGGAUGAUAUUUCACCAUUGCUCAGCAGCCUUGCAAAUCUUCGAAGUGUUUUGGUGCAAUGUGACGCCAAGUUUGAACUAUAUGAGCAAGUAAAAACUAUAUUGGUCGAAUAUGAUGCAAAUAUUACAGAAUCAGGAAUUUCAAAGAAUAAUUUCAGGUCUUCUCUGACUGGUGUUGGAAGAUACAAAGAAUUCUUCAAUACUGUCAGCGAUAGCAUACCUAAGGUUCUUCUCUAGCUUUCCCUUUGUUUAUUACCUUCACCAUCAUUUUAGCUAUUAUUUCUGAGAACAUAAAAUAGUCCUAAUGAAGUAUUAGUAGAAACUACACUACUGAACUUUAAGCACCUUUCGCUUCUAUAGCCCCACGACUUCAUCUAAAAGUAUCUGAGUUGAAUAAUCAAAUAACCAAGUCAUUAUGCUUAUCCUAAGUACAUGCAAAUUGAUUUCCACUUACUAGUUUACUUCAUGGGUUUUUUAUUCCCAAUGAUCGUAUAAAUAUAAACUAAGAGAGACAAAAAUAGAAAUGCAAAAUGAUGGUGAUAUAUACACAACAAAACUAUAAACCAAAUUUGUUUCGAUCAUGUAACUAAACAUGCCCUUGUUUGUCCCAUGAUACAGGUAUUUGCAAGCAGUGAGUCAUGUGAUGUUUCUCUCCCAGGUGACAACGAUCCUUAUUGGUUGGCCUAUAUGGGUGAUGGACAUUCUGUUUAUUUCACUGUGCCUCAAGAUCGUGUGGUGAAGGGAAUGGCUUUGUGUGUUGUUUAUUUAUCAACCUCCGAAAUCAUUGAACCUGAACUUACUACUGUCUUAAUUGUUAAUUACACGAAGUGCACAUGCCAAAUACACAACCAUGGGACAGUAAUUUCCUUUAAUGAUGAAGAUUGGCCUAAUAUAAUGUCAAAUUUAGGAUCAGGAGAUAAAGUGGAGAUUUUUGUGAGUUUUGGUGAUGGAUUGGUGGUCAAGAACACAGCUGUCUAUUUGAUAUGUGGUGAAUCAAAUGAGUUAGAAAAGGAGGCUGUGCCAAAGAAAAAAUCGCUCCUUAAAUUCAUAAAGAGAACUCUAAUGUGAGUUCUAGUAAGUCAUUUAUAUUUGAGAACUUUGAGUUAUGGAAUUAAUCCUUGUGUCCUUCAUUGCAAUUUAUUUUUUCUGAUCUGUCCUUGUUUUUCUUUGAGUAUAGCUCAUAGUUACGAGAUUCAUAUUUAUUUUACCCUGUUUCUCACUCCUCACAUUGUUUACUUGAACUGUUUAUUGUAUUUGCUUUGUUGUUGUUACUUUUUGUCAAUUCUAUUCCCUUCUUAGCAUAUAAUAUUGCAUUCAGAAAAUCUCGUAAAAAAUAUUGCAUUAUGAAAUAAAGAUAGCUGCGGUUCGAUAAUUUGUUAUGUGUUUUGCCUUGCUAUAUGCUAUGCAGUCUCUGUUUUUGUUUCAACAUAAGAAGCACCGUAGCCUCAUCCCUUUAUUUUAAGACUAAAACAAAGUUUGAUUUCAUUUCUCCUUAUUUACACUGAUUAUAUUUUUUUAUGUCUAAUUUAAAAAUAUUUAAAUUUUUUCAAUUUACAUUUAUAAGUUUCAUUACAGUUUUCAGUUAUGUAAAGUCACCAAAUUAUUUUAAAUUUUAAAUUUUCAACUAAUUUUUUUCAAAUAUAGUCAUGAUCUUUCAAAAUAUUUUAAUCUGUUAUAAAUUGUUUUAAAAUUAAUUCUUAUAAAUUAAUAUUCAUUUGAUAUGUGCAAAUAUAAUCUUUAAAAAAUUCAAAAAAUAACCAUGUAGACAAAUACCGCUAAUAGUUAAAAAAAAUUCAAAUGUGUACUUUUUAUUGACAAUUAGUUUAGGCUUUUAUGUUUCAAAUAUAAAGUUAAAUGUUCAACUGUAUUACAAAACAAAAAGAUAUUCAUACAAAAUCUCCAUUCUAUGAUCCUCACCAGAAAAAAGCAUUGAAAGAUAUGAUAGCACUUGAUCCACCAUGAUGAUAGCACUUGAUCCACCAACACCAAUCCUGCUACAAUGUUCAUACCUUCACUGCUACAAUGUAGUAGGCACGUACCUGCAUCAAACCACCCCUCUCAACCUUAAACUGUAUAACUUACCAUAAUUCUCCUUUCCUUCAUAAUCCAAUAAACCAUUUCCCAUUAUAUUUCACAACACAUAUUAAUAACAUAUCCGUACUAGUCAAACAACUCUUCACUUCAAAAAUAAAUAAAUGACAUAUUGUCUCAUCAUCCUCCCCACGCAUAGUUCCAAAACUCACCAUGUUGUGGUAUAUGAUGAAGAGAGUGCCUUAAUCCUCUAAAAAUUCUCGUACAUGGACAUGCCUUCCCCCUUCUACUUCGCCCUUUAAGAUUCUAUAUGCUGAUUUAAUCGUAUAAUUUGAUGUUUCUCCUUCCUUCCUUACCCACUUAUCGUCUUUUUCCAUGUUUAAACUUGUGUCUUCCAAAACAUGUGCGAAUUGAUGCGCUUGGUUAUUUUCCCACUCAAAUAAAUUCCUUCUCCAUUCUAACUUCUAUAACCAAUUGUUAUUAUUCCACUCCCUAACCUAAUACAACUUAAAAUCUCUGUUUGUGCUUAAACAAAAUAAUCUCAGAGAACUUAUUUUUUAGUUCUUCAUUAUCCGCUCAUUUAUCUUCCCAAGAACUAAUCUCCAUCCCAUUUCCUGCCUCCCAAGUUACAAUAUCAUCAAAUUUACUUUCCCAUGAAGCCCAUGCUAUUUUCCUACCCUCCGAACAUCAAUCCCAUAAAAAUUUUCUUUGCAAUUUCACUAUCUCCUUUGUCACCAUUAUUGGCAUUUUAUAUAAAGAUAAAUGAAAUAGAGGGAGAGAUGAAAGCACUGAUUUAAUUAAGCAUAUCCUACCUGCCGUAGAUACAAAUUUAUCAUUCCAUCUACCUAAUCUAUUCCUCAUUCUUUCCACCACAUCCUCUAGAAUUUAUCUCUUGUGGCACCCCCCCAACUAACAUUCUCAGAUAUUUAAAUGGUGUUUUCAUCACAUCACAAUUAAGAAUUUCCGCAAAAUAUUGAAUCAGAUUGUGAUUGACUCCCACCCCUCCAAUUUUACUCUUUAGAAAAUUUACCUUAAAGCCAGAUGCUAAUUCAAAGCAGUUUUAGAUUACCUUUAUAAUAAACACACUUUGAGUAUUGACUUUACAGAAAAAUAGUGUAUCAUCCGCGUAUUGUAACAUAUUCACCUUAACCAACUUAUCCCCAAUCUCCAUACUUUCUAUCAUAUUUUUCUUAACUGCUUUUCUUACACCCCGUACUAAUCCUUCUACCACUAUAAGAAACAAGAAAUGUGCUAAGGGACUCCUUGUCUCAGCCCCUUCUGUGGUUUAAAUUCCUAAGUUGGACUCCCACUCACUAAUACUGACACCGAAGAUGAUUCUAAACAUGCUUUUACCCAAACUAUCCAUCUUUCACAAAGAACCUAACCUUCCUAACAUAUAGUAGAUGAACUCCCAUCUUAAUGACUCAUAAGACUUCAUUGGCCACAAGCACACUAUCCAUUAACCCCUUACCUUCUAAAAGCGUUGACUGCCAAAGAUCAAUAACUUUAUGUGACUAUAUAUAUUCUUCUUGAUCUCUUCCUAACAAAUUUUAUAAAACCAAAAUUAAAGUCGUCACAACAUUUCAUCUUCUAUAAUACUUCCUACUAACAUUUCAUCUUCUCCAUAAAUAGUUUUAAAAUUUGUAUUAUCUAACCUGACUUUUCCUUAACAACCACUUGAUCCUCACACCAUUGGCCAUUCUCUAGCAAACCAUUAAUCCCAUUUCUUGACCUUCACCAUUUAGUUAUAGAGUGAAAAAAAUUGGUAUUAAGAUCACCUUGCUUCAACCACCUAUGACGAGCUUUCUGUUGCAUUAUAGCUUCUUGUUUAAAAUUAUUUUUACUAUGCUAACAAACACAAACUUACUUUCCUCUCUUCCUUCCUAAUCUAACUCAUUCUUGUCAUUUGUUGCAUCUAACUCUUGAUUUUUUCUUUGUUCCAUAUUUUUAAAUCAAAUUUUAGUUUUUUCAAUUUUUAUUUAAAAAUAAACACCUUGCUACCUUGCACCUCAUAUCUAUUCCAUUUAUUCCAUAUGAAGUCUUUGAAUCUGCCAUCUCUUUGCCAGAUGUUCAAACACCUAAACAGUUUCGGACCCUAAUUCUUACUCAUGUCUUUUAACACCAAUGUACGAUGACCGAACAUUGAUUUAUGUUAACAUAUUUAGUUUUUUCUAUUUUAACUUAUUGGACUUUGUUUGUUUGGCCCAACUUUCCUUUUCUGUUUCAGCCAGGUCUUAGUCUUUUUCUUAUAUAUACACAAUUUAUUUUAUUCUCUAAUACACAAGUAAAUAAGAAUUUCUUUUGUAUUUUCUUUUCUUUGUUUUUCUCUUUGAUCUUUAUUUCCCCCUUUGUUGUUCUUGGUUAUCUUUUAUGUUCUCUUUCAAAAUCUUGAUUGGGUUUCAAAAUCUCUUAGGCAAUGUCUAAUGAAAACCAUAGUCUUAAUAGUAGCCACACUAUUACAUGCAAUUUAUGUGGUAAAUACGGUCAUAUUGAGGCUGUUUGUUUUCGCAAAGUGGGUUUUCCUUCUAGUAAUGUUAAAACCUCAAAGUUUUUUUCUACUAGAAAAGUCUGCACUUUUUGUAAUCAUAUUGGCCACACUACCGACACCUGUUAUAAAAAGCAUGGGUUCCCUCCUGGCUACAAAUUCACCAAUUGGACAUCCCUAACCAAUAAUAUGAUUACUACUGACACUUUUUUUGAGCUUUUUCCUAAAGAACAAGAUGUAAAGGGGAUUCAACUUACAUCACAACAGUGUCAAUUCUUGACCAACAUUUUGCGUCAGCAAAACCUUGAGGAUCCUGCCCCUCACACUCAAAUUAAUCAAGUUGACACCUUCUCUGCGGAUGAAAUCCCCAAUACUGAGCAAUCUUCAAUAUGUAAGUUUCUCUCUUCACUAUCUGCUAUAAAAGAAUCUUGGAUUAUUGAUUCUGGUGCCACAUAUCAUGUUUGCCACAAUUUGAACAUUUUUACUACUUAUACUAAAAUUAAACCUGUCUUAAUUAGUCUUCCAAAUGACCAAACUGUUUAUGCCACAUAUUCUGGUUUAGUACGUUUUUAUGAUAAGUUUUAUUUGUCUGAUGUGUUAUAUGUGCCUCAUUUUCAAUUAAACUUAAUAUCUGUUUCUAAACUCACACACCAACUUAAAUGCACUUUAACUUUCACUUCAACCCACUGCAGUAUACAAGACAAUCUCACCCAAGAGAGGAUUGGUAUAGUUAAAGCCACUGCUAGCUUGUACCUUGUCACUACCUUGCCUGUUUCUAGCCAUUUUAAACCACAUUGUUUUGCUCCUUUUAUUAAUUGUAAUAUCAUGGACAAAACACUGUGGCAUUAUAGACUAGGACACCGUUCACUUGAAAGAUUACAUGUCUUAAGCGAACAAUACUCUUUUAUUACUGUUGAUACUCAUCAUGUAUGUGACACUUGUAGUCGUUUAAAGCAGAGAAAACUUCCUUUCACUUUAAGUAAUAUUGUUACCUCUGCUAUUUUUGAUCUUGUACACUUUGAUAUUUUGGGACCAUGUUCCAUAACUUCUAUGCAAGGUUUUCGUUAUUUCUUGACUAUUGUUGAUGAUUACUCGCGUUAUACUUGGGUUAUUUUGCUGCAUAACAAAUCUGAAGUGCGUCAGCAUAUCAUUAACUUCAAUAUUUUCAUUCAAAAUCAUUUCAAAACUAAUAUCAAAAUGAUUUGUACUGACAAUGGUGUUGAGUUUGCUAUGUCAAAUUUUUAUGCUUCAAAGGGAAAUAUACAUAAAAAAUCUUGUCUUGAAACACCAUAGCAAAAUGGCAUUGUAGAAUGUAAACAUCAACACAUACUAAAUGUAACCUGAGCUUUACUUUUUCAAGCAAAUCUUCCUCCUAUUUUUUGGGAAUUUGCUGUAAAUUAUGUUGUUUUUUUAAUAAAUGUUAUUCCUACUCCAUUACUUAAUAAUAUCACUCCUCAUGAAAAGUUGUUUGGAAAACUGUAUGACAUUUCCUUUUUAAAAGUGUUUGGUUGUCUUUGUUAUGCUAGUACCAUUACUGCACAUAGGACAAAAAUUAGAUGAUAGAUCUAUCAAAGGUAUUUUUCUUGGCUUCCCGCAAAAUACAAAAGGUUAUAUUAUCUUAAAUUUAAAGUUUCAUAGCAUAGAGAUAUCAAGACAUGUAAUCUUUCAUGAAAACCACUUUCCAUAUAAAUUGGACAGUGGCUUGCCUAGGGACCCGAAUACUUUAUCUCUCCUUAUUUCUAAUGCAUAUAAUUAUGCUUUUGAUUUUUUUUUUUUUGAUAUUGCACUUCCUGCCGAGCCAUGUACCUCUACUCCUACACCUAAUAUUGUCCCUCCACCAACCUCAUUAUCCUCUGAUCUUUCAGCAAAUAAUGUCUCUGCUCCUGCAUCCAACAUUGCACCUCCACCAGAAUUAUCAAUGCCUGCACCUCCAGGAAGCACUUCACCCCAAUUCCCAAGAAGAUCAGUCUGUCUUCACUGACAACCUGCCCAUCUUGCAAAUUUACACACUGCAACCAACAUUGUGGGUAGUAGAUAUCCUAUUCAUAAUUACUUGUCUUACAAUUCCUUAUCUUCCAAUUUUAGGAAUAUUAUUUCCUCUAUCAAUUCUCAUCAUGAACCUCUGACCUAUAACGAAGCCUCCAAACAUGCUUCUUGGCAAUCUGCCAUGCAAGAUGAGUGUCAAGCUCUUGCUGCUAACAAUACUUGGCAACUUACCUCUCUCCCUCCAGGAAAGAAAACUAUUGGUUGUAAAUGAGUAUAUAAAAUCAAAUACCAUUCUAAUGGCACUGUUGAGCGCCACAAAGCUAGAGUUGUUGCCAAAGGGUUCAUCCAACUUGAAGGACUUGAUUUCUUAGACACUUUUGCACCUGUUGCUAAACUCACUACCCUCUGUCUUCUCCUUGUUGUUGCCACUACCAAAAAUUGAAUUUUAAAACAACUUGAUGUUUAUAAUGCCUUUCUUCAUGGUAAUCUCCAUUAAGAGGUAUACAUGACCCCCCACCUGGCCUCUCUCUUCCUUCUCCCAAGCAUGUCUGCAAGCUUCAACGGUGUUUGUAUGGCCUUCGUCAAGCUGGUUGCCAAUGGUACGCCAAGCUUUCUACUUUUCUUUUAUCAAAUUAUUACUCUAUUUCUGCUACUGAUCACUCUCUUUUUCUUAAAUAUAAUAACGAUAAACUCACUGUUAUUCUUGUUUAUGUUGAUGAUUUGGUCUUAACUGGUGAUGACACGGUGGAAAUCAAUACAAUUACUGCAUCCUUUCACAUCACUUCAAGAUAAAAAUAUUUAGGUCAUCUCACUUACUUUUAGGGACUGGAAAUUGCUCGCAACAGUUAUGGUCUUCAUUUAAGUCAACGCAAGUAUACUCUUGAUCUUCUUCACGAAACUGGCAUGCUUGACUCUGCACCUGUGGCCACUCCUUUUGAUGUUGAUGCAACUUCCCAAAUACAGAAGACUCCUUGGACGUCUAAUCUACUUAACCAACACGCGGCCAAACAUCGCCUUCACUGUCCACAAUUUAAGUCAAUUCAUAUCUGCACCCACAACUCAUCAUCAACAAGUUGUCUCACGUCUUUUGCGUUACCUCAAGGGCACCCCUGGUGAAUGACUAUAUUUUUCUCAUAAUAGCUCACUUCACCUUUGUGGUUUUAGUGACUCUGAUUGGACAACAUGGCAUACCACACACAAAUUUGUCACUGGAUAUUCCAUGUGUUGAACCAAGUGGUGUUCAAGCUUUGAAGAAUCCAAACCCUUUGAAGGUUGUUGAAGGCUUGGUUGUGCUUGCUGUUGCUGAGCUGUCUUAGACAGGAUCUGGGGUAGUUUGUUUAUGUAAUCCACUCUUGAUUGAAUCUAAAGCAUAGGCACUCUCAAUCUUUGCCCUACCAAAUGCAACCGUGGGCUUGGUUAAAAAACAAGGCUCCAAUGACGCUAUUUUCUUUUUCCAACUGGGUCCAAUAUCCGAUUACUUGCAUUAANNNNNNNNNNNNNNNNNNNNNNNNNNNNNNNNNNNNNNNNNNNNNNNNNNNNNNNNNNNNNNNNNNNNNNNNNNNNNNNNNNNNNNNNNNNNNNNNNNNNUAAAAAAAAAAGUUUACAAAGGAUGUUAACCAUAUUAAUUAAUUCAAUUCAUCUGCCUAUAUAUUACGCAUAUCUAUAUGAGUGGUUAAGAGUGAACUAUUAAAUAAAUUUAUUUUCUCUCUACGCCUUCCACUCAUUCUCUUUCUUAUUAAUAGAUUCCUCUAUAAAUAGGUUCAUACUUCCACUAUUCUCUUUCUUAUUAAUAGAUUCCUCUAUAAAUAGGUUCAUAUUUCUUAUGUAUAGUGUUCUUUGCACACACAUUCCAACUAAGAGUACCUCCUGAUAGAAGGCAUGAAGAUCUCAUCUACGCUUUGAAAAGAAAGAUUAUAUAAGAUAAUCUCCACUCGUGUAAGAAAGGAAAGUACAAUGUAUUUUUUUAGUUCUUGCCAAUAUAAUACUUUUGUCAUACAUGUCAAAUUUUUAUUUUAAAUCCAACCACAUAUUAGUUUCAUGUUAUUAUCCCCAUUCACUUCAAAAAGUUUAACAGAAGCUAAAAACAACUUUUUAAAAGUACAGAACGAAGAGAUAAGAAUAAAAGUGCAUGGAUAAAAUAAAAAAUAUUAGGAGGGAAAAUAUUUAACCGUGACUAAGGUUUAAAAUAAUAGUUGGGAUGAUAUUUCACCAUUGCUUAGCAGCCUUGCAAAUCUUCGAAGUGUUUUGGUGCAAUGUGACGCCAAGUUUGAACUACAUGAGCAAGUAAAAAGUAUAUUGGUCGAAUAUGAUGCAAAUAUUACAGAAUCAGGAAUUUCAAAGAAUAAUUUCAGGUCUUCUCUGACUGGUGUCGGAAGAUACAAAGAAUUCUUCAAUACUGUGAGCGAUAGCAUACCUAAGGUUCUUCUCUAGUUUUCCCUUCGUUUAUUACCUUCACCAUCAUUUUAGCUAUUAUUUCUGAGAACAUAAAAUAAUCCUAAUGAAGUAUCUAGUAGAAACUACACUACUGAACUUUAAGCACCUUUCGCUUCUAUAGCUUCCACUUUAUUGCUUUACUAGCUUCAUGGUUUUUUUAUUCCUAAUGAUCGUAUAAAUAUAAACUGAGAGACAAAAACAGAAAUGCAAAAUGAUGGUGAUAUAUACACAGCAAAACUAUUAACCAGAUUUGUUUUAAUCAUGUAUAACAUUUUUGUUUCACUAAACAUGCCCCAGUUUGUCACAUGAUACAGGUAUUUGCAAACAGUGAGUCAUGUGAUGUUUCUCUCCCAGGUGACAACGAUCCUGAUUGGUUGGUCCAUAUGGGUGAUGGACAUUUAUAAGAAUGGCUUUGUGUGUUGUUUAUUUAUCAACCUCCGAAAUCAUUGAACCUAAACUUACUACUGUCUUAAUUGUUAAUUACACGAAGUGCACAUGCCAAAUACACAACCAUGGCACAAUAAUUUCCUUUAAUGAUGAAGAUUGGCAUAACAUAAUGUCAAAUUUAGAAUCAAGAGACUAGGUGGAGAUUUUUGUGACUUUUGGUCAUGAUUUGGUGAUUAAGAACACAGCUGUCUAUCUGAUAUAUGGUUUGCCAAGGAAAAUUCCCUCAUUAGAUUCAUAAAAAAAAUUGUAAUGUGACUUUUCGGGUAAGUCAUUAUCUCCUUUUUGAACAGGAAGGUCAUUUUUUCCCCAUCUUUUCCUUUCUUUAUAGUGUAGCUUAUAGUUAAAAAAUUCAUGUUUAUUUUACCCUGUUUCUCACUCCUCAGUGGUGCUUCCUUGGCUUUGCUUAAGCUGUUUAUUGUAUUUGUUUUCUGGAUUUUACUUUUGUCAAUUAUUUUCCCUUUUAGCAUAUAAUAUUUCAAUAGGAAUCCUCUUAAAAUAAGACAUUGCAUUAUGAUAUAAAGACAGCUGCAGUUUGAUAUUUUGCUAAGUGUUCUGUUUUGCUAUCUUGUAGGUAGUCUCUGUUUUCGUUUGAACAUAAUAAACAUUCAAAGGAUAUGUAUAGACACAACCAUUCAAAGGACACCAAAGAUGAGUACAUUUUUUUUAUAGUGGUGCAAGCGCGUUUAAAAAAUUCGACCAACGCACGCCAACUUUGAACCACUGGAAAAAUAAAUAUUAUACUAAUACAGUUGAAAUUUUCUCCAAUAUAUUCCUUUUUUCUAUAUUAUGCGUCCAUGUUUUUAAGUUUUAAAAUAUAACACAUGCUUCUUUGUUUACAUUACCCAUCUCGUUAAGAUAAAUCAUAAACAAAAAAAAUGUAUAAAUCUAGUUUGAAAAGAAUUACGACAAGUCAUUUUUUAUAAACAAGAAGAAACAGGGUAAUAUAAAUAUGAAUUUGUUAACUGUAAGCUAUACUCAAAGAAAAACAAGGAUAGGAUCAUAGGAUUAAUUCCAUAACUCAAGGGUUCCUACUGUUCUCAAAGAAGAUAAAUUACUUACCAGAAGUCACAUAGGGAUAUAUAUCCAAUGCUUGUUGGGUUUACAAUUGAAAAAGGCAUUUGUUUGACAGCUGUAUUUUCAGCAAUUAUAGUUAUCAAGGAUUUCAUUCACACUAUAUCUUUUUCUAUUAGGUGAAUCUUCCAACAACCAGAUAGAAUCAGAGUUUUUAAGGAUUUCAACUUAUACAUCUUUCUGGGGAGAUUGCUUAGAUUUGUACAGUCCUGCAAAUUUAGCAAUGUAAGAUACAAGAGGCAUCCAAUAGAUUGGUCUACUUCCCUCAAUCUUGGACAAUCUUUGAGAAUGAGUUGUUAAAGACUUGGUAUCGGAAAAGUCAGGGGUUUCUAUCAAGAUUAAGGACUUUUAGCCACGUCAAAACCUUGAAGAAGAUAGUUUUUGAUAAAAUAUCAGAGAAGUAAAUGAGAAAACGAAAUAGUUAUAAGUGGAAACAAAUAAUGAUUUUAAAAGAGAAUGACACGUAAUAAAACCUUGGGUUCUUUCCAAACGAAUCGAACAAGACUGUGUUUUAAGUCAAUCUCUAUUGCAUCAUGCAGAUAAAUAUUGUUUUAUAGGUAUUCUUAUAAAACAGGUACCCCUAAAGUAUCCCUCUUAAUUUAAUUCAUUCAUUGCUGAUAAAAAAAAAAAAUAGGUAUUCUUAUAAAGGUACUCGGAAUGUCCAGCGAAUUUCAGCAGUCUUACCUCUAAAGGAUAACGUUCCAAGAAAUCACUUGCGGUAGGCAAUCUCUGAAUCACUUUUGUCCUUUUAGAUGAAAAGAGCAAAGAAAAAGAAAUAUAUUGCUCAUGAGAAAGCAACCACUUCCAAAAAGAAGUUUCAAAACCAUAGAUAAAGGGUGUUCUUACCGUAUGCUCUGACAGUGCAUAUUCUGCAUCCUUAUUAAACCACAGUUGACUGUUCUUCCCUGAAAUUUGACGAAUAAUUUAUCUUCCCAUUUGUCUUCCUAAUUUGUUGUUCUUAUUAUGAGACUACGCUGUAUGAGAACUCUUAUUCCACUAUCAGCAUCUAUUCCACAGCCAUUUAGGAUCUUAGUAACGUAGACACUGUCCUUACUAACAAAGGAAAUAACAUACAUCAAGGAAUAAAUCUUUUUCCAUUUGAUUGUGUACACCGUCGAAGCUUGUUUUCAGUAUUUUGUAAAAUAAAUAUGAAUUUAACUAUGAGCUAUACUCAAAGAAAAACAAGGAAAGGAUCAGAAAGAUAAAUUGCACUAGAGGACACAAGGAUUAAUUCCAUAACUCACGGGAUCAUGCAAAAAAAAGUGGUUAGGUAGGUAAAACCCUCGCAAACUGAUUGAUCUUAAUUUCGCAGGAAGGUACUCAGAGUCUGCAGCUAGUUUCAAAAGUCUUGAUGAGUCUCUUAGACCUACAGGAAAGUUUCAAAAGUUUCGAUAUUAUGUUGUGUUUAGUUUAGCUAUCUGUUUGGUAGUGUCUGUUUUUGUUUCUACAUAAUAAGCACCGUAGCCUCUAUUCAUGAACCUAGGUUCUAUUGUGAUGAUCCAUCAUAGCCAGAUAGUAGAACAUAUUUUACCAUCCCCCAAAAAUCCAGUUUUAAAGCCCGGUCAUUGAAAUUGCCAGAUCUCACCAAAAUUGUAUUACUGAGCAUCAUAUGAUGUGGUCGGCAAAAGUUGUAUUGGUCCAAAGAAAGCUUCAUGAAACGUACCAUCUGACACAACCUAUGAAGCAUAUUGACACAGACACUGAUAUACAACACAGACACGAAAAUACGUAUAAUCUCUAAAAUGUAGGAUACGGGGACACGAUUUAUAUAUUAUAUAAUCAUGAAUUAUAUAAAUUAAUAAUAAAGAUUUAUGUGCAAAGUAUGUUUGAGUUAUUUUUGGAACAAAAAGAUUUUCUCAUAGCUGGUUCAAAAGGAUUUGUUCUUUAUUUUUAUAAUCAUAAUACGGGUAGAACGUAUACCUUUACGGAUAGCAAUAGGAAGAUCAAGUUCAACUGUUGGAGGUUCAACUGUCGUUGGAUGAGGAAAUAAAAUAGAAUGAGGAAUUUUGUUAUCUAAAACUGAAGAUGGCAUGCGAUUAAUGAGAUAACAUGCACUAAGAACAACAUCACCCCAAAAACACUGAGGAACAUCACCAUGGAUUAAAAUAGUACGAGUUGUUUUAACCAGAUGUCUAUUCUUGCGCCCAGCUACCCCAUUUUGUUAAGGUGUAUAAGCACAUGAAGUUUGAUGAAGAAUACCAUGAGAAGCCAUACAAUUUUGGGGAUAAUAAGUGAGACGACUGGAUAAUAAGUUAAAUGGAGACCCAAAAACAUAAAGAACAUUAUCAAUAGAUAAAGUAUGAAAAAGAUUAAUAGUACCAACACCAUGUGAUGGUAGCCUAUAUUCAUUGGCCAUGGUAACCGAAGGUAAAUAACCCGUAGUUGUACUUGUAAAGGGCUAAGACAGUAUUUGCAACCGGUUGGACAACUAAUUCUUCCCCUUGGUCACGCUUUACUUACUUUCCUUCUUCUUGCAUUCAGGUUUCGGCUCUCUACGGGAGUGCACCUACAAAAGGUUCUUUGAUGCUCAAGUGAGUAUUCAAUAUUUAAGUGCUAUUAAUGUUGUAAUAGUGAAGUACCUUUGCUUUGUCUAAUGUGCUUAUUUAUACCAGUGUAAUUGACUCUAUCAUUGAUGGGUCAUGUUUAUUGUGUAUAAUCAUAAAAAUGAAAUUACCUAAUAUAUCACGUAUUCCUUUUUACUUUGAUGUAUUUACACUAGUUAGUUGUGCGACAUCUGAUACCAAGUGUUAUAGGAUCAUUCGGCCUCGACCGAUACAUGUUUGAUCAAUCAAGAAGAGGUGCAAGUUUUGACCCUAAAUAUAAUAUUGUGGAUAUUCAAAUGAGUUCAAGAUACCAACCAUUUGAUCCAUUUAAUCUAGCACAGAUAAGUGAACAAUGUCCUAUAUCCAACAUUUCAAGUAGACAAACAUGGUUGAUGUGUUGAAUUAAAGCCAGCCUAAGGUCACAUUGACUCAAAUGAUGGAAGAGAACGUCCCUUACCAAGUAGAUCAAAUGUCACAUGCCAAUAAAAUCAUUGAAGUGGAAGGUAUAUUUGGAUUACAGAGGAAGAAGAGAGAACAAGAAGUUGAUGAUGAUGAUGUGGAGGAGUAAGAAACAGGGUAAAGUAAAUGCAUGCGGCUAUUAUUAGAUGACCUACAGUGGCAUCGUCUAUGGCUUAUAUAUAUAUAUAUAUAUAUAUAUAACAAUGCUUGCGGCUCAUACAUACCCAUACAUGCAGUUCAUGUAACAAAAUUUAUAAAUGUAAAUUGAAAAAAAAAUGAAAUACUUUUAAAUUAUACAUAAAACAAAUAGAAUCAGUGUAAAUAACGAGAAAUGAAAUCAAACUUUGUUUAAUUUAGUUUGAAAUAAAGCGAUGAGGCUACGGUGCUUCUUAUGUUGAAAUAAAAACAGACUACAUAGCAUAUAGUAUGGCAAAACACAUAACAAAUUAUUGAACCGCAACUAUCUUUAUUUCAUAAGAAAUACGAGGAUUUCUGAAUGAAAUAUUAUAUGCUAAAAGGGAAAAGAAUUGACAAAAGUAACAACGAGAAAGCAAAUCCAAUAAACAGCUAAGUAAAGCCAAGCAAGCACAAUGUGAGAAAUGAGAAACAGGGUAAAAUAAAUAUGAAUCUCGUAACUAUGAGCUCUACUCAAAGAAAAACAAGGAAAGAUCAGAAAAAAGAAUUGCAAUAAGGACACCAGGAUUCAUUCCAUAACUCAAGGGAUCCGGCUGUUCUCACAUUACAAUUUUCUUUAUUAAUCUAAUAAAAGAUUUUUUUCUUUGGCACAGGCUCCUUUUCUAAGUCAUUCGAUUCACUACAUAUUAGAUAGACAGCUGUGUUCUUGACUACCAAUUCAUUACCAAAACUCACAAAAAUCUCCACCUUGUCUUUUGAUCCUAAAUUUGACAUUAUGUCAGCCCAAUCUUCGUUGUUGAAGGAAAUUACUGUGCCAUGGUUGUGUAUCUGGCAUGUGCACUUUGUGUAAUUAACAAUUAAGACAGUACUAAGUGCAGGUUCAAUGAUUUCAGAGGUUGAUAAAUAAACCACACACAAAGCCAUUCCCUUCACGACACGAUCUUGAGGCACAGUGAAAGAAACAGAAUGUCCCUCACCCAUAUGGGCCAACCAAUAAGGAUCAUUGUCACCUGGGAGAUAAGCAUCACAUAACUCACUGCUUUCAAAUAUCUGUAUCAUGUGAUAAACAAGGAUAUGUUUAGUUAAACAAAAAUGUUAUACAUGAUUAAAACAGAUCUGGUUAAUAGUUUUGUUGUGUAUAUAGCACUUUCAUUUCUUUAAGGAUUUAGAAUGCAUUUCUGUUUUUGUCUCUCUUAGUUUAUAUUUCAAUGAUCAUUGGGAAUAAAGCAAUCAUGAAGCUAGUAAAGCAAGAAAGUGGAAAUCAAUUUGGUAGUACUUAGUAUAAGCAUAAUCACUUGAUUAGUUGUUUAUUAAAAUAAGAUACUUUUAUAUGAAGUCGUGGGGCCAUCGAAGGGAAGAGAUAUAAAAGUUCAGUAUUUUAGUUUGUACUAUAUACUUGAUUAGGAUUAUUUUCUGUUCUCUUAAAUAAUACCUAAAAUGAUGUUGAAGGUAAUAAAAAAGGGAAAGCUAGAGAAGAACCUUAGGUAUGCUACUGCUCCCAGUAUUGAAGAAUUGUUUGUAUCUUCCAACACCAGUCAGAAAAUACCUGAGGUGAUGCUUUGAAAUUACUGAUUCUGUAAUAUUUGCACCAUAUUCGGCCAGUAUGGUUUUUACUUGCUUAGAUAGUUGAAACUCGGCGUCACAUUGCACCAAAACACUUCGAAGAUUUGCGAGGCUGCUAAGCAAUGGUGCAAUAUCAUCCCAACUAUUAUCUUCCGUAUGCAUGAAGGAAUGAAUAUAAGAUAGGGGAUUCGUUGUUGGCGACAUCCGAGACCGAAUGAUAGAAGGAAAAAGAUUAUGUGACGAUUCCUCAAAUCCACGUAGGGAUAUAUAUCCAAUGCUUUUUCGGCUUACAAUUGUAAAAGGCAAUUGUUUCAUAACUGUAUUUUCAGCAAUUAUAGUUAUCAAGGAUUUCAUUCGCACUCUAUCGUUUUCCAUUAGGUCCAUCUUCGAACAACCAGAUAGAAUCAGAGUUUUUAAACAUUUCAGCUUAUAUAUCUCUUCGGGGAGAUUGCUCAGACUUGUACAAUCCUUCAAAUUUAGCAGUAUAAGAUUGCAGAGACAUCCAAUAGAUUGGUGUACUUCACGCAAUCUUGGACAAUCUUUGAGAAUAAGCUGUUCAAGACUUGGUAGUCCGGAAAAGUCAGGGGUUUCUUUUAAGUACUUUGAGUGACUAAGAUUAAGGACUUUUAGCCACGCCAAAACCUUCAAGAAGAUAGUUUUUGAUAAAACGGUAGAGAAGAAUAUGAGAAAACGGAAUAGUUAUAAGUGGAAACAAAUAAUAAUUUUAAAACAAAAUGACACGUAGUAAAAACCUGGGGUUCUUUCCAAACGAAUCGAAGAAGACUGUGUUUUAAAUCAAUCACUAUUGCAUCAUGCAGAUAAAAGUCGUUAGGUAGGUAUUCUGAAGAAAACCCUUGCAUACUGAUCCAUCUCAGUUUCUUAGAAUGGUACUCGGAAUGUCCAGCGAAUUCCAGCCGUCUUGAUGCGUCUCUUGCCUCUAAAGAAUAACGUUCCAAGAAAUCACUUCCGAUAGGCAAUCUCUGAAUCACUUUUGUCCCCUUAGAUGAGAAGAGCUAAGAAAGAAAUAUAUUACACAUGAGAAAGCAACCACUUCCAAAAGAAGUUUCAAAAGCAUAGAUAAAGGAUGUUCUUACCGUAUUCUCUGACAGUACAUAUUCUGCAUCCUUAUCAAAACACAGUUGACUGUUCUUCCCAGUUUCCUUUCUUGAAAUUUGACGAAUAAUUUCUCUUCCCAUUUGUCGUAGCAACGGAUGCAUUCCUAAUUUGUUGUUCUUAUUAACUCGUAUAAGACUACGCUCUGUCAGAACUCUUAUUUCACUAUCAGGGUCUAUUCCACAGCCAUUUAGGAUCUUGGUAACAUACGCUCUGCCUUUACCAACAAAGGAACAACAUAAAUCAAGGAAUAAUUUUUUUUCCAUUUGAUUGCAUAAACCGUCGAAGCUUAUUUUCAAUAUCUGGUCAAAUUUACGGUCGGGAAUUUUCUUUAAUUUUAAGAGUACUCUAUUCCAUUCUUCUUUCGUCCUUUCAUAUAAAUAACUUUCAAUGACUUCAAGAGCUAGAGGUAGUCCUCCACAAUAAGCAACUACUCUUUCUGCUAGGAAACGAUAAUCUUCUUUUGGUUUUGCUUCUUUAAAUGCGUGCCAACUAAGAAGCUCAAGGGAUUCAUCUGAGUUCAUUAGCUCUACCUGAAAAAUAGAAUCAGUUUGAUAUAUCAUCGGUAGUUUUUCAGGUGUUGUUGUAAUGAUUAUUACACUUCCUCUUCCAUACCAAUGACGGCAUUCCCAUAGUAAUGUGGCAUCAAACGGAGGCACAUCGUCAAGUACAAUGAGCACCCUUUUCCCAGAAAGUCUUUCCCGAAUCAUACGUCUUCCCAUCUCAAAGCUAUCUAUCUCUACCUUUGUUUUUAGGACAUCUGAAAGGAGUUGUUCUAGUAAACCAAGAUCCCCUCUUAUUCCGAUAACUUGUCCAAUAUCUUCAAUGAAACUUUUCUCCGUGAAUGUAUCAUGAAUUUGAUGGUAGAUGGCUUUAGCAAGGGUGGUUUUACCAGAUCCUCCCUGUCCACAUAUCGCUAUCCUACAAACUUCCGUGGAUUUACUUUUGAUAGUUCCAAUCAGAUCCUCCACUUGGUAUUGUAAUCCAACUGGAAAUUUAGUAGCAGACAACACUGGUAAAUUAAGAACGGUCUUAACAAUUUUGUCCACUAGUUCAGCAUCACUCCUUCAAGUUCAAUAGCAAUUAUGGAAGAAGUCAUGUCAUGUAUUACCAAAAUUAAAUCAGAAGCUUAAAAUAUGGUGAUUGAGUGAGUGAUUUACCUGUAAUUGCUCUCAUCCCAUCCAAAGAAAUUUGCAGCUUUGGUGAGUGCGUGGCUCCAUUUGGACAUGGCAUGUUCCAGUUGUUGUCCUGAAAAUGUUUGGUGUGCAGUUUCUUUCAAGGCUUUUCCAAAAUCACCCUUCUGAAGACGUACAUCAGAUGGCUCAAUUUCGUAAUAAACGGGCAGAACAUGUCGACAAUAAGUUUCUUUCCAUCUAAUGAUUUGUUGAAGCUGGUGAAGACACCAAGCAGAUUGAGAAUAGGUUUUGGUGAAAACAACAAUUGCUACACGAGAGAGAUUGAGAAUAGGUUGUUGGAUGUGAAUUGGGUUGUGUGCAUUGGGGUGGUGAAGGAAAGUGGUGAAGCCAACAGCAGAGAGGGCAGAAUUGAGAUGAGACACAAAUUUCCUUUGGAUGUCUUCUCCAGUAAAGUUGAUGAGUACAUCGUACAUCCGUGGGAGUUUGGAUGUUGAGGAGGCCAAUUCCAUGGAAGGAAUUGAUGAGGUCAUCAACUGUUAGCAGAAGAGAAACAAAUGAUGCAACGCAGUCAAAUAAUAUGCACAGACAUAACCGUUAAGGACACCAAAGAUGAAUAAUACAUUUUUUUAUAGUCAAAUGAUAUCACAGAACCUCUUUUACUUUAGCCAUUUUAAAAGUUAGACCAAUGCACGCCAACUUUGAAUCACUGAAAAAAUAAAUAUUAUACUAAUACCUAUGAAAUUUUCUCCAAUAUAUUCCUUUUUUAUAUUAUGCGUCCAGCUUUUUAAGUUUUAAAAUAUAACAUGCAUGUUUACAUUACCCAUUCACCUCGUUAACAUAAAUCAUUGUAACAAAGUAACAAAAUAAAAAAAAAGUAUAAAUAUAAUUUGAAAAAAUUUACGACAGGUCAUUUUUUAUAAACAAGUAGCGAUGAAGUUCGCGCACAUCAAUGGAGAAGGAAAGGUGUCAGUGAAAGGGUAGCUUUGUCAAAUGAAAUAAUUGGUUUCAAUUGGUUCGUUGACAAAAAUUUCUUGCUAGAUUUGCCUAUUAUUGGCAAGAAGUGCACAUGGUUCAAAUCAAAUGGAUCAACUAAGAGCAGGUUAGAUAGAGUGCUUGUGAACAAUGAUUGGUUACAGAAUUGGUCAGGGUGUAAACAGCAGGUAGUGUUUGAUCACUAUGUUUUAGUGGUGAAGUUUAUGGUAAAAGACUGAGAUCCUAAGCCAUUCAGAACUAUCGACGCAUGGCACAUGGAGAGGGGAUUCAAGGAGCUGGUGCAAGAGAAAUGGAUGUCAUACUCUACACAAGGGAAUGACAUGAUCAAACUCAAAGAUAAGUUGAAGAUGCUAAAGAACGACCUAAAAGUCUGGAACAUGGAUGUGUUUGGUAAUAUUGACUUAAAAAAGAGUAGAAUCUUGAAGAGAAUAGAAGAAGUUGACUGUCAAGAUGCAUAUGGCAAGCUGGAGGGAAGUUCUAGGCUUGAAAGAAUGGAACUCGUUAGCCAAUUGAGGGUGACAAAUAAAAAGAUAUAAUCUCUCACUAGUCAAAAGACGAGAGUAAAUUGGCUAAAGCAUGGGGAUUCAUGUUCAAGAUACUAUCACUCAAUUCUAAGGUGGAGAAGACUUAGGAAUGAAAUCAAAAGAGUUGAGGUCGGAGGUGAGUGGUGCGAGGAGCCUGAAGUUGUUAUAAAAGAAGCAAAAAAGUUGUUCCAAGACAAAUUUGUGGCUACUAAAGACGUCGGGGUUAGAAUUGGUGCGGCUAAGUUUAAAACCCUCUCUGUGGAAGGAAAUCUUAUCCUUAUUGUUGAGUUCACUAAGGAAGAAGUGCAGGAAGCGGUGUGGCGAUGUGAUGGCUCAAAGAGUCCUGGUCCAUAUGGAUAUAACUUUAACUUCAUCAAGAAAAGUUGGGAUGUUAUUAAAAGUGACAUUGUAGCAGUGGUGGCACAGUUCCAUGAUUCAAGUAGCAUACCAAAAGGAUGUAAUGCUUCGUUUAUAGCCUUGGUCCCUAAAGUUAGUGACCCUUUGAAGCUUGAUCAGUAUAGACCAAUCACCUUAGUGAGUGCUCUAUAUAAAAUCAUAUCGAAGGUGUUGUCUUGUAGAAUCAAGUCUGUUCUGCCAUCGGUGAUAGAUGGGAGUCAUUCGGCCUUUUUGAUGGAUAGAGGGAUGCUGGAUAGCGUACUAAUGGCGAAUGAAGUGGUAGAGGAGCUCAGGAGGGAUGGGAGGAGUCUCCUAUUUUUAAAGGUGGACUAUAAAAAGGUGUACCACUCGGUCAAGUGGGAUUUUCUUUAUCAUAUGAUGCAAAGGUUGGGGUUUCACUAUAAAUGGAUUUUAUGGGUCAGAGAAUGCUUGGUUUUUGCUUCGGUCUCGAUUUUGGUUAAUAGAAGUCUACUGAAGAAUUUAAACCGACGAGAGGGUUGAGGCAGGGUGAUCAUCUAGCACCAUUCCUAUUUAUCAUAGUAGCUGAAGGCCUUGCUGAGUUAGCCAAACAAGCUAUAAAGGCCAAUGCGUUAUCAGGCUUGAAGAUUGGUAGGAAUGCGGUAGAGGUGUGCGUGCUUCAAUUGGCUGAUGAUACACUUUUUCUAUGUGAAGACUCCUUUAGAAAUGUAAUCACUAUGAAGGCUAUAUUGAGGGGCUAUGAACUUGCAUCAGGCUUGAAGAUUAAUUUCCAUAAGUCGAAGGUUGCAGGCAUAAAUGUUGAAAGGAAUGCCCUGGAUCUCUACGCUAAGACCUUAAAUUGUACGCAGAUGUCGAUUCCUUUCAAGUAUUUGGGGCUUGAAGUGGGUGGUAACCCUAGGAAGAUAAUGUUUUGGGAGCCAAUCCUAAGGAAACUUAAAGCAAAACUCAGUGCGUGGAAAGGGAGAUUCUUGUCAUUGGCAGGAAGAAUAUGUUUAAUUAAAUUUGUCCUCUCAGCUUUGCCUCUCUUCUAUCUAGCAUUCUAUAAAGCGCCAGAAUUCGUAUUAGCAUCACCAGCAUCCAAAGGAGGUUCUUGUGGGCGUGGGGGAAGGAAGAAAGAACAAUAUCAUGGGUAAGAUGGGAGGAUGUGUGUAAACCUAAAGAGGAAGGUGGGUUGGGUGUUAAAGACAUUAGAAAGUUUAACCAAGCUCUUCUGGCUAAAUGGAGGUGGUGUUUACUGAUUGGAGAGAAAGGCAAAUGGAGAGACUUGCUGGUGUCAAAGUAUGGCUCGGCUGCUAGUACGCCAGUGAAGCUCCAAUCAUGGUGGUCGGGGGACCUGUCCAAAGUUUGUCAUGGGGGAGGAGGUGGUGGAUGGUUUCAGGAAGCAACAAGUUUGAAAAUAGGAGCUAGUGAUAAGGUUAGAUUUUGGAAGGAUGUGUGGGUUGGAAAUCUGAACCUCAAAACAGUAUUCCCUAGGUUGCAUUCUUUAUCCUUGAACCAGGGAGAAAAGGUAGGUGAGGCUGGCGUGUGGGUAGGAUCAGAAUGGCGGUGGAGUCUAAGGUGGAGAUGUGCUAGGUUUGUGUGGGAAUCUAUUAUGGAGGAAGAUCUUUUAAGGCUCAUAUCUCAAACCAAUCUGUAUAAAAAGGUGAAGGGCUACCAGGUGUGGAGGAAUGAAGAAUCAGGGAUGUUCUUAGUGAAAUCGGCGUAUGAUCACUUAACUAAUCCUGUAAGAGGUCCUCACAAUGACCUCUUCAAGUGAUUUUGGAAGAUAAAAGCGCUACCCAACGUGUUGUUUACGGCCCGGAUGGUCUUAUUGGAUAGAAUUCCAACAAGAGUAGCAUUAAGUAGGAGAGGAGUGUCAGUGCCUACUCCCUUAUGUGCUGUGUCAGGCUAAGGAGGAGUCAAGUCAACAUUUAUUCAUAGAAUGCAUGAUUGCCUAGAAGGUUUGGCCUACAUGUUUUAGAUGGAUUGGUAUUCUAUCGGUGCAACACAAUGAAUUGAAGUGCCAUUUUGAGAAUUUUCAUCUGGAACAGGUGAAUAGCAAUCAAAACUUGGUAUGGAAAGGUAUUUGGGCAAUCAUAGUGAGGUGUAUUUGGGAUCAUAGAAACAACGUUAUUUUCAAACAAGGAGCAGUUAAUGCGGAAGAGAUUUUCCAUAUGGUACAACUUAUGUCUUGGUUGUGGAUGAAGUAUAGGACUCCUUCUUUCAAUCACUCCUACACGGGUCCUGAAUCCCCUUCCAUGUAUUAGAAGUUAUAGGUAAGGGGAAGGAAUAUAGGAAGCAAUUAUGGAGGGAAAGGUUGAAUGUAGGGUAGCUAUAGUACUCGAAGGAAACUAUCACGUGAAGGGUGUUUAGUAGGCUGGGAGAGUUCAGGUAGGGGCAGCACAAAGUAGAGCAACCUUAUCAAUGCUGAUGCAGUUCUAAGGAGUUGCAGGAAUUAAUAGUAGCAGCAGAGGUGUUGAGCCUCUCCCCAAGGAUUCCCCAGUUUCCAUUUCAUUAUGAGACUGGUGUAGAAGUAGGAUGUGGACUUUAUGUAGCUCUGCUACUGGUGCUGGUCCAGAAGCAUAGUUCUCAAGGUAAAGGUGUCGGUAAAUACUAAAGGCAAGUUUUUAAUGCUUACUUGAGGGGCGCCAGGGUAAGCUAUGCAGGUUGUUUUGGUUGCAUAACUGACGACUAGACUGUGCUUUUGAACUAUUGGUGUAUCAGCUGUUGGGAGAAAGCCUGUGCUGGCCAGUCUAUGAGAAGCAGAACAUACUCACUUCAGUUUUGAGUGCACCAAUAAAUCUGCAUAAUUUAGGUGGUAUAAAUGCUACACUUCAGAUGCUAAUUACGGUACUCUGAUGAGACUUUUAAUCAUAAAGCGCAAGUUGCACAAUGAUGGAAAAAGAAUUUUAAUUUCAACUAGAAGGCUGUUAUUAAGGUGCGAAACAGAACAACUCUGUAGCAUUUGAAGCAAAAAUGUCAAAGGUCUAUAGGUUCUGCUUUGUGGACCCUUAGGAGGAGAAAAUGAAAUGCCUGGAUGAGGUAGCAGGAGGCAUUAGCUUGCUGAUUUUGAGGAGCUGAAGGGGUCAGUAAAGUCUGAGGUGAGUAGAGGUAUCGGGCAGAUUUAAGAGAUUGGGUGAGAAGCCUCUUAGAGGGUGCAAAGCUGGGUUAGUAUGUAGAAAGUUGUGAAGGGAAGGUGAUGCGAGAAGUACUCAAUCCCAAUGCAGGAAUUUGUUUGAACCUGGAAGUGGAGGGAUUGGUUUAAAUGUUGAACUAGCUUUAGAGAACAAUUGAGGAGGCUUAAGGAGAAAGUGUUCGUUUUUUGAGAAAUAAGCACCAGUACUCUCCAAGUCAAUUUUCUAGCCUUUAUUAGAAUCUCUUAAGGAAAGUUAGAAAAUGCUGCAGCCAAUUUGUUCGAGAGUUCAGUUUCUGCUUGAAGAUUAUGCUUGAAGUACUGUGCCGGUAAUUGCUAUGUCCAUGAGUAGAAUGGCUUGAGAAGAUUCUGCUGCAGCCAUUAGAUAACCAUGCAGUUUGACUCUCUGAGGAAGAAUGGUGGAAAUAAGGUAGAAUGAAAGGUGCAUGAAAAUAGGCGUGAUGAUGCAGUUAAGGCAGCAAAAGAGCCUCUUUGCUGUUGUAAAGGUUGGCCAGAGUUUUUUUCAAUACUUGCAUUUAUGUUGGUGUGUGGUAGAGAAUUUUAUGGAAAGUGCUUCUCUGCUGUAUAAGGUGCUGUUAUCAACAUUGAGAUAUCUGCAGUCUCAUGCUUACUGCAUAAGUUUGAAGGUCUAGGACCUAAUUGUUUGUGGAGGAUGCUUAGUCUUUAAUAUGUAGCCUUUUUUUGGUGAUGGCAACUUUUCAAUGGUUCCGUUUGUAGGAAAGUUGCUUAGAGUGUUUGUUGUUGUAUAAUGGUUGGACACUUCUAAAAUAUCUUUUUUAAUUUAUUAAUUUUUUAAUAAUUAAAAAAUAAACAAGUAAAGAAAUUGUGUCUCUUUAUUAAAAUAUAAUAAUUAUUAAAAAUAUUAGUUAAAUGAAUGUCUUUUCUAAAAUUACUGAGCUUAUAGUGUCAUUUUAUUAAUAAAAAAAUUAAUAUUAGAGGAAAUGUUCGCCUAGGGAAAAAAAUACAUGUAAUUUUCUCUUUUAUUUACAAUACAGAUUGUAAAAAAAAAAUGAAUGAAAGUGAUAAAUUUAAUAUAAUUUUAUUUAUUACACUUUUUACAUUAUAAAAUUGUAUAUAUCCUUAGUGAAAAAUCCAUUCUUGAUACCACUCUCUUCGCAUGAGGAGAGUUUCAAAAGUAUUUCAUUUUAAAACAACUUAAAGUGGGUCUCCAAACAUGGAAAAGGGUAAGUACUUUCUUGGAAAUUCCUCAUACACAAUCAUGUAAAAUGAGUCAAUUACGUCACCUAUUUUUAUGUUGAACUCCUACGCAAAAAAAUAUGGUAAUAUUUUCGUAAAUAUUUCAAACAUGUUCAGAUGUUCUAGGGUCUCAUGUAAAUAUUCAUAUAUUUACGUCAGAAGUUGCUUAAAUAAGAACACAAUGCAUCUUCUUCCUUGCAUUUUGAACGCACAUGAAUCCCUCUUCUUCUUCUCUGACGAAGGCGACUACAACGCGAGUCUGCACUUGUUGGUCAUCUAAAUUCUACUUCCGUCUUUAUGUCUCAUUUGUGGCGGCAGACCUUUCUCUCUAAUUGCAUUAUUGGAGCAUUUGUGGGUGAAUGUUUGUCAUUCAUGUUAGUUUUUUCACUAGUAUAAAAUGAUGAAAAUAAUACUCUUAUUAAGUGCGGCUUUGCGUUCAAACGCAUUCGUAAAAAAUACGGUGACAUUUUUUAAAUUAAUUUGAUUUACAAAUGCGGCUAUUCAAAUAGCCGCAUUUGUAAAUCUUUUUUUACCCUAAAAUUUAAAUUGCACACACUACUUUCAUAUUUUCUUCUCCACUUUGCCUUUCGUUUUCACUGUUCCUCCGCUCGCGUACGCUUGCAGUUCUUCUCUUCUUCUGCAUCUUCAUUAAUUUGUGUCAUUGUGAGUUUCUUGAAUUGCUUUCUUUCUCUGCAUCUUCACUACGUAUAAAUCUUUUUCGUUUUUCCUUAUAUUUGUUUUUUCUCCUUGCAUUGUGGUCAAACUGUUCCAUUGGCAUUCUCAUCUCCAUCGCUACUCUGCAACCGCUUCCGCUGUCGUUGCUGGCGCUCCCCUGCCACUCUUCACCACCAACGUCGGUUCACACACAAGAUUAGUGUUCUGUUUUAAAUUUUUUGAAUUUUUCUUUAAUAUUUUGAAUUUAUUUUUUUAUGUAUUAUAAUUUGUAUAUUAUUUAUAAAUAAUUUGUACAUUGUGGGUUACAUUUGAACAUAUUUAUUAUUAUUUUUAUUUACUGAAGCAUAUACAAGUGCGGCUAAAAGUCGCACUUGUAAAUUGUAUUUAUAAAUGCGGCUAUAUAACCGCAUUUGUAUCUCUUCGAUUUACAAGUGAGUGUUGAUCAAAUGCGACUAUAUAGCCACAUUUAUAUAUUCAAAAUAGCCGCACUAGUUGUGUGUUUUUGCACCAGUGUUUAUAUCUUCUUUUUACUAUUGAAAUUGAAACUCUGGUAGUUUUUUAGAUCUCAAUCAUCAUGAUAAUGCAUGAAUGUUUCCAUUGAAUUGUUGUUAGUUAUUAUUGAUAUUGAAAUUUUUGUUAAAUUAAAUGUGUUAUUUAGUUGUUUAUAUUUCAAAUAUUAAAAUUAAUGUUUGUGUAAUUGUGAAUAUUAUAAGAUGUUUAAAAUUGUAUUCUACACAUUAGAAAUAGUCAAAAUUAUAGGGAUUAAUUAUAGAAAAAGGCAUUUGUUUGACAGUUGUAUUUUCAGCAAUUAUAGUUAUCAAGGAUUUCAUUCGCACUAUAUCUUUUUCCAUUAGGUCAAUCUUCCAACAACCAGAUACAAUCAGAGUUUUUAAGAAUUUCAACUUAUACAUCUUUCUGGGGAGAUUGCUUAGAUUUGUACAGUCUUGCAAAUUUAGCAAUGUAAGAUACAAGAGGCAUCCAAUAGAUUGGUGUACUUCCCUCAAUCUUGUUCAAUCUUUGAGAAUGAGUUGUUCAAGACUUGGUAUAUGAAAAGUCAGGUUUCUAUCAAGUACUUGGAGUGACUAAGAUUAAGGACUUUUAGCCACGUCAAAACCUUCAAGAAGAUAGCUUUUGAUAAAAUAUUAGAGAAGCAAAUGAGAAAACGAAAUGGUUAUAAGUGAAAACAAAUAAUGAUUUUAAAAGAGAAUGGCACGUAAUAAAAACCUGGGGUUCUUUCCAAACGAUACGAAGAAGACUGUGUUUUACGUCAAUCACUAUUGCAUCAUGCAGAUAAAUAUCUUUAGAUAGGUAUUCUUAGAAAGGUACUCGAAAUGUCCAGCGAAUUUCAGCAGUCUUGAUGGUCUCUUACCUCUAAAGGAUAACGUUCCAGGAAAUCACUUGCGGUAGGCAAUCUCUGAAUCACUUUUGUCCUUUUAGAUGAAAAGAGCAAAGAAAAAGAAAUAUAUUGCUCAUGAGAAAGCAACCACUUCCAAAAAGAAGUUUCAAAACCAUAGAUAAAGGGUGUUCUUACCGUAUGCUCUGACAGUGCAUAUUCUGCAUCCUUAUUAAACCACAGUUGACUGUUCUUCCCUGAAAUUUGACGAAUAAUUUAUCUUCCCAUUUGUCGUAGCAACGGAUGCAUUCCUAAUUUCCUGUUCUUAUCAUGAGACUACGCUAUAUGAGAACUCUUAUUCCACUAUCCGCGUCUAUUCCACAGCCAUUUAGGAACUUAGUAACAUAGACUCUGUCCUUACCAACAAAGGAAAGAACAUACAUCAAGGAAUAAAUCUUUUUCCAUUUGAUUGUGUAACCCGUCGAAACUUGUUUUCAAUAUUGUGUAAAAUAAAUAUGAAUUUAACUAUGAGCUAUACUCAAAGAAAAACAAGGAAAGGAUCAGAAAGAUAAAUUGCACUAUAGGACACAAGGAUUAAUUCCAUAACUCAAGGGAUCCUGCUUUUCUCAAAGAAGAUGAAUGAAUUGUAAUAAGGACACACGGAUUGAUUCCAUAACUCAAGGGAUCCUGUUAUGUUCUCAAUGAAGAACAUUAACUCAGCAGAAGUCACACAUUACCAUUUUCUUAAAGAAUUUAAUUAAGGUAUUUUCCAUUGGCUCAAGGCAAGAAUCCAUUUCCAAGUCAUUUGAUUCACCAUAUAUCAGAUAGGCAACUGUGUUAUUGACCACCAAUCCAUAACCAAAAGUCACAAAAAUCUCCACGUUGUCUCCUGAUCCUAAACUUGACAUUACGCCAUGCCAAUCUUCAUCAUUAAAGGAAAUUACUGCGUCAUGCUUGUGCAUAUGUAACGUGCAGUUUGUGUAAUUAACAAUUAAGACAGUAGUAAGUUUGGGUUCAAUGAUUUUGGAGGUUGAUAAAUAAACAACACACAAAGGCAUUCCCUUUAUCUCACGAUCUCCAGGUACAGUGAAAGAAACAGAAUGUCCCUCACCCUUAUGGGCCAACCAAUAAGGAUCAUUGUCACCCGGGAGAGAAACAUCACAAAACUCACUGCUUACCAAUACCUGCACAAUGAGAUGAAAAGCUUAGUCAAUUAUGUAAUUUUUCAAUUCAAACUGUCUUCUGCAAUUAUUAUUUUAUAAUUCAAAUUACAAAAUGAGAAUUAUAAUCAAAUAAUGUAACUCAUAAUUAAGAAAUACCACUGAUAAUUAAUUUAAACAAAUCUGGCUAAUAGUCUUGUGUAUAUAUAUAACACCAUCAUGUCCUUAGGACUUAGAAUGCAUUUCUGUUUUCGUCUCUUACAGUUUAUAAUUCUACGAUCAUUGGGAAUAAAACAAUUAUGAAGCAAGUAAAGCAAGAAAGUGGAAAUCAAUUUCCUAUUAAAUAGUAUAAAAAAGUAUAAUCACUUGGUUAGUUGAUUAUUAAAAUUAGAUACUUUUAGAUGAAGCUGUGUGAUAAUAGAAGUGAAGAGGUCUAAAAGUUUCAUAUUGUAGUUUCUGUCAGAUACUUCAUCAGGAUUAUUUAAUGUUCUCUUAAUAAUAGCUAGAAUGAUAGUGAAGGUUAUAAACAAAGGGAAAGCUAGAGAAGAACCUUAGAUAUGCUAUCGUUCACAGUAUUGAAGAGUUCAUUGUAUCUUCCAAAACCAAGGAAAGAAGACCUCAACUGAUGCUUUGAAAUUCCUGAUUCUGAAAUAUUUGCACCAUAUUCGACCAGAAUAGUUUUUACUUGCUUAGAUUGCUGAAACUCGGUAUCACAUUGCACCAAAACACUUCGAAGAUUUCAAAGAAUUUUAAACAACGGUGCAAUAUCAUCCCGACUACUAUCCUCCUCAUCCAUGCAAACCAAAUGAAUAUAAGAUAGGGGAUCCAUUGUUGGUGACAUCCAAGACCUAAUGAUAGAAGGAAAAAGAUUAUGUGACAAUCCCUCAAAUCCACUUAGGGAUAUAUAUCCAAUGCUUUUUGAGUAUACAAUUGAAAAAGGCACUUGUUUGACAACUGUAUUUUCAGCAAUUAGUGUUAUCAAGGAUUCCAUCUGCACUAUAUCUUUUUCCAAUAGGUCAAUCUUCGAACAACCAGAAAGAAUGAGAGUUUUCAAACAUUUCAACUUAUAUAUCUUUCUGGGCAGAUUGCUUAGACUUGUACAAUCCUUCAAAUUUAGCAGUAUAAGAUUGCAGAGACAUCCAAUAGAAGGGUGUACUUCGCGCAAUCUUGGGCAAUCUUUGAGAAUGAGCUGUUCAAGACUUGGUAGUCCCGAAAUGUCAGGGGUUUUUGUCAAGUACUUGGAGUGACUAAGAUUAAGGACUUUUAGCCACGCCAAAACCUUCAAGAAGAUAGUUUUUUGAUAAAAUAUUAGAAAAGAAAAUAAAAUAGUUAUAAAUGAAAACAAAUAAUGCUUAUUUUAAGCUGAAAUUGAAAAGAAAAUGGUACGUCAUAAAAACCUGGGGUUCAUUCCAGACGAAUCGAAGAAGACUGUAUUUUAAAUCAAUUGCUAUUGCAUAAUGCAGAAAAAAGUCAUUAGGAAGGUAUUCUGAAGAAAACCCUUGCAAACUGAACCAUCUCAGUUUCAUAUAGUGGUACUCAUAAUUUUCUGCGAAUCUCAGCAGGCUUGAUGUGUCUCUUACCACUAAAGGAUAACGGUGGAAGAAAUCUUUUGUUGUUAAAAGCAUUUUCAAAGGCAAUCUCUGAAUGGGCUCAUUGGAUUUAUCCGAAAAACAGAAUCAACUUCAUGAAUCCUCAGUAUGUGUUCAUCUCUCGUUGUAAUGAUUAUUAUAGUUCCUCCACUGAAGCAACGGCGGCAUUCCCAUAGGUCGAGUAAUGCACAAAACUCAGGCACAUCAUCAAGUACAAUGAACACCCUUUUCCCAGAAAGUCUUUCACGAAUCAUUCUUUUUCCCAUCUCAACGCUGCUUAUCUUCACCUUUGUUUUUAGGACAUCUGAGAGAAGUUGUUCUUGUAAACGAAGAUCCCCUCUUAUUCCACUAAAUUGUCCAAUAUCUUCAAUGAAACUUUUCUCCGUGAAUGUACCAUGAAUUUGAUUAUAGAUGGCUUUUGCAAGGGUAGUUUUACCACAUCCUCCCUGUCCACAUAUCGCUAUCCUACAAUCCUCCGUGGAUUUACUUUUGAUAGUUCUAAUCAGAUCCUCCACUUGGUAUUGUAACCCAACUGGAAAUUUAGUAGCAGACAAGACUGGUAAAUUAAGAAGGCUUUUAACAAUUUUGUCGACUAGUUCAGCAUCACUCCUUCAAGUUCAAUAGCAAGUAUCGAAGAAGUCAUGUAUUACCAAAAUUAAAUCUCAAGCAUAAAAUUUGGUCAUUGAUUGAGUGAUUUACCUGUGGUUGCUUUCAUCCCAUCCAAAUAAAUUUGCAGCUUUGGUGAGUGCCUGGCUCCAUCUGGACGUGCCAUGCUCCAGUUGUUGUCCUGAAAAUGUUUGGUGUGCCGUUUCUUUGAAAGCUUUACCAAAAUCACCCAUCUGAAGACGUACAUCAGAUGGCUCAAUUUCGUAAUAAACGGGCAGUUUGGAUGUCGAAGACAGCAAUUCCAUGGAAGGAAUUGAUGAGGUCAUGAACUAUUACAAGAAGAGAAAGCAAUAAUGCAACAAAGUACGCCGAAGAUUAAGACUUUUUCUUUUUAUACUUGUGGAAUCGAGUUAAGACCAUAAGAGACCCUUCUUUACUUUAGCAUUUAAGAUAUGGCUAAUUCUUUAUGCAAGUGAAGUAAAUUGAAAAAGUAAAUCUUGAAAAGAUUCUUGUAUUCUUAAAUUGUAAAAUCAAAAUCUCAUUUUGAAAAAAAUAUUAUAGAAUCAAAAAUACAUUUUAGAAAAUAAAUUUUGGAAAACAAAAUCCAUAAAGUUAUAUAAUGGAAUUAAAAAAGUGUUCUAAAAAUCUAAAUCUGAAAAUGUAUUAUAAGAGGUUCCAAAAUGUAUUUUGAUCCACUCCCCCUCUUUAUUUAAGGGUAUUUUUGUCUUUUCAGAUAAAAAUCGGAUGUAAGUUCAAAUUUCAUUGGGUGGAAGAAGUAAUUGCCUUAAGAUAAUAGGCUAACACUCACUUUGAAUCAUAAAAAAGAAAAUAUCAAUAAUUACAAAAAAAAUUGUAAUUAUAUUUUUAUACUUUUUAAUUUAAGAACAUUACAUUAUCUCUUCUUUUAUUUUAGUCAUAUAUCCCUUUUAAGUUUAAAAAAUAAAAAAAUACAUUAUAUUUUUUUUCAUAUUUGUGUAUAUCUAAAGAGGUCAUUGUAAUAUAGAUCACAACCUUCAAGAAAACACUCAAACUGCUGAGCACUUCUAUCAUACACUGAACGAAUUGAGGCCAAAAAAGUUAAGAGAUCCAAAUGUCAAAGGACUGAGCGAAUCCAAAAAGGUUGAGCGCAAAGAUUCAUUCACCAUGAAGAAAGCCAAAAUUUGCUCACGAAAGACUUGAAGUCAUCAUGCACCAAAAUUAGAAGGAAAAGGAUUUCGCUUGAAGCAAAGCCCAAGCAAAAAUCACUUCAUGGCUAAGAAAGAGAAAGUGUUGGGCUCAGGUUGGAAUGAAUCCUUGAUAGAUAGAUCCUUAAAUCUAAGAAUCCCAAGAAGCCCAAGAACUUGUCUUGAAGCCCAAAGAUUACUCUAGCCUAAACAUAUGUGCUAUAUUGUUAUUGUUAGAAUUAGUGGCCUAAACAAGAGGGGAAGUGAAUUAUUUUCAUAAGAUUUUUGCAAAGAUUGGAAAUAGAGUGAAAAGUUCUAAAUCAACCAAUUGAUUUUCUGUUCAACUGGAUAAAAAUUUAGUUUUAAUGUUCUUUACAGAAAUUCAACCGGUUGUUUUCUCGAAACAAGAGGUUGGUUAAACCAGUAGAAAAAGAACAAUUAUUAAAACAAUAUAAAAGAAAAGGGAUAGAGAGAUUCACGCACAAAGGUUUAUACUAGUUUACUCUUAACCAAGAGCUACAUCCAGUCCUCAACUAACCAAUGAGAAUUCACUAUGUAAUCAAACCUAGAUUACAAACCACACACCAAGAAACCACACACCAAGAGUGAUAUCUUGAACCCCUCAAGAAUCACCACCUUGGCAACACCACAAUUUUCAUAAACACCUUUUUGAAACUACCUUUCACCAAAUACACCGAAUUAUAGUGUUCAAAGUGAAGGAAAAGAAUACACAUGGGCUUUACAAAGUAGAAGAACAUAAGUAUACAAAGACCCAGUCCUAUUCCACACACAAGUGAUGAUCCAAAACUCUUGAACUCUUGAAAAACGUUUUUCAUCAUCUUUCUUUCUUUGGUUCUUGAAAAGAAUAUCAAAUAACCUUUAUAUAGACUUAAGCAAGUGGUCAAAGUUGUUAGAUCAUAAAUCAAAAGAAGUUGGAAUCAUUUAAAAACAGUUCAAAACACUUCAUAAAAUUUUGUUAUAAAAACAACAAAUUGACAGCAAAGCCAAAACAAAGCAAAGUUUUCCCAAAUCAUUUUAAAAACCACUAAGUGUCAAACAACCAAUUGUUUCGACAAUUCAACAUGUUGAAAUUUCACGACUUUUUAGAAAACACUUCUUUUCAAAAAAGAUAAAGAAUCAAGUGAGCUUGGAUCAAUACAAGGAGUGAAUUAACAAGUAAAAAACUACUAGACAACACACACACAUAGCAGCAGGGUCUUCAAGCUUUUCACAUAGAUUUGGAGACAUCAAAUCAUCUUGUUCAACAGUUAUUCUUUUACUUUCAAUAUCUUGUUAAUAGAGUAAGUGGAAAGUAUUUUUAAAAAGGGUAAAAUAAUAUUUUCCAAAUAUGAUGAGGUGCAGGAAGAAACAUUCUUAAAAUUAACAUCAAUAAAAAAAUAGUAACUCUAUGACCAUCAUUGUACCAACAACACAGGCUUUCCCCAAAUUUUUUAUUGUAUAUCUAAAGCUGAGCUUACUUAGAUUAUCCAAGGCAAGUUUCUCAUUAGAUAUCUAGUCAGCCAAAACGUGCAACAAUUUAUUUUGAAUGCCAAUAAGAGCAACUUGUUUAUUUUAAUUACCUUUUUCGUCUCUACAUUUAGAUUCAAUAGUGAAUUUAAUACCGUGGUUUUUAAAAAAAUCAAUUUGAUUCCUAAGUUUUUUAAAAUGUAUUCAAAAUAAUCAUUUCUGUUAAAUUUUUACCAACGACAUUAACAGUUGAUGACGUGGCACACAGUAUAUAAGUCUAGGCACGUGACAUAUACGUGUCACAUAAGACGUUGAGACUAUAGUCUUUUACCGUUCAACCUUGCGCCGGUCACAUUCACCGCCAUUCAGAUGAUUUUUGGAGUAACCGUGGCUAUCAUACUUGGAGGCAAGGAAUCUCACCAAGGAGGAGUACGUCGCGAAUCAUCCCGUCGGCAAGAUCGGGAAGAGUCUCAUCUUUAAGGUCCUUUUUUUAUUCAUUUGUAUCUGUGUUUGAAGGAUUUGUAUAAAACAAGAAGGAUUAAAAAACAAAGCAAAUGUGAAGGCCAAGAGUAUGAAGAAAAGUUUAGGUAGUUUGGUGAGUUGUUCCACUGUGUAGUGUAAGAGAAAGAGAGAGAUAGUGACUCUGAUUCACUCGCCAAACCAUCUGCACAACAUAAUUCAUUAUACAGAUCGCUCUUUCCUCAUUUCUCCCUUAACGGACAAAUAUACCCCUCCCCUCUCCAUAUCAUUUAUAUAAUUCAUUCAUAUUAAAAUAAUAAUCUACAUCUAUAUUAUUUUUCUAAAGUGAAAUGGGUGCUGCAAUUCACGAGCUUCCACGACUAUGAAAAAUAAAUGUAUCUUUGGCUACUUUGAAUGGUUUUGUGUCUUUUUGACUGUGUUGCAUUAUUGCUUUCUCUUCUUCUAACAGUUGACCUCAUCAAUUUCUUCCAUGGAAUCGUCAUCUUCAUUAUCAAAUCUGCCACGGAUGUACGAUGUGCUUAUCAACUUUAAUGGAGAAGACAUCCAAAGGACAUUUGUUUCUCAUCUCGAUUCUGACCUCUCUGCUGUUGGCCUCACCACCUUCCUUCACCACCCCAAUGCAGUCAAUCCAACGCACAUCCAACAACCUAUUCUCAAUCUCUGUCGGGUAGC